rnacentral:lncRNA from 1 species
CGGGGGGAACUAAUAGGCAACGGGGCGGGGGACGGGGGAGGGGUCCCCCGCCCCGUUGCCAUCCCUAGAGGUAGCAUAGAAUAGAAGGGGCUGUGGCACAGCAGGCUGAAAUGCAUGAACAACUGUGGCAAAAUCUCACAUUCAAGAGAUUCUUAUCCAUUUUGGAAAAGCAAAAGAUGAAUCCAUGUAAACAAUUUCUUGCAAGACUCACAAGCAACAAUUCCUACGAUUUGCACCCUAAUGAACAAAAUUGCUUAAAAAGGAUUCCAGAGCAUCAAAGAUUCAUCCCAUAAUAUUCAUUCUGAAAGCGUUCUGACGCCAUUACUUCACUACCAUAUUUACAUAGAAUUACGUCAGAAUUAAGAUCCACAAAAGAUCCCGCAAUUAGAAAUAUUCCAGCCGUAGGCAAAAACAGAGUGCAUCAAGUCACUCGAAAAACACAAAAGAUCCUGCAAUUAGAAAUAUUCCAGCCGAAUCCGGAUUAAUCUCACUGAAGGUGGAAAUAUCGAGUGCUCAAAGCAAAAAGAAAAUUUAUAAAGGAACAUAUUUGUUGCAUAUUUAUUUCAAAGCAUAUAUUAUUUUAUCUUAUAAGCCAUAGUUGUAACUAUUUAUAAUUCAAAGGAUCAUAUUGAUUAGGGUAAAAUAUAUAUAAAAAAAAAAAAAAAGCCCCCUUAUAAUUUGGGAUUUGGCCAUGAUACCUCCUCAUUAUUUAAAAACCCUCAGAUAACCCCUUUAUGUUUUAAACUUAUUUGGAAAUUGGAUGAAAAUCAUCCCAAUUAACGGAGAGAAUUGCAAUGUCCAUGCUACCCUCUUUAUUUUUUCAUUUCUGCCUUUUAUUUUCAUUUUUAUAAAAAUAAGCAUUUUGUGGUUUACCAAAGCUUAAGCGGCCAAAAUCAUGUUCUUAAAAUUUUUAUGGUUUAACAAAAAAAACUUUAUAGGUCAAAAUAAAUUUUAAUAAAAAUAUCAUCUUCCCCUAAGUCCUGAUUUAUAAAAAUAUAGGCCAAAAUCCUGAUUUCACAACUUCAUGUGCAGUCCCGGAUGCAAAAUUUUCCACGAAAAAUAUACAAGUUAGGCACGUCAAGUAUAGCUCAAGCCUACCACUUUAAUACCAAAGAAUGCAGUAUACAUCGCUUAGACCACGGAGGCACCAUCACGCCCAUCAAUUGCCUCCCCAAAGCCCGAAGAAAGCCAUGCAUCAGCAUCACUACUUGUCUUCCGCAGCCAAGGAUCUACAUUUUUUUUUCCUUUUUGCCAAAUGGAAACUGAUAGGCCACAAAGCAUCACAAGUAAUUUGUUCUAACUUGAGAACAUUCUUACACACCCCACAGUAUACUUGAGAACAGUCUUGCCGUUCUUCAUCACCGGAGCCACCCUAUUGCUAAUACUCUCACGAGUCUUCUGGGUUUUUCUGGUGGUGACUAUUUUGGAUGAAUUGACGAAUGGAAGGCUGGCUGGCAUUGAGAAAGAGAGAUCAGAGGUGGAAGACAAGCACCCACCCCUCCCCUCCCUCCCCUACCCCUCUCCCUCUCCCUCUCCCUCUCCUAUUUGCCGGCUGAGAGAGGGGGAGGAGGAAAAAGGGGGGGGAGAAGGAGAGGGGGAGAGGAGGAGGGAGGAAGGAAGAGGGGGAGGGUGGUGGCGCUAGAGGAGGGGGAAGAGAAUGAGGGGGGUGGCAGAUGACGGGAGGCGGUGGUGGAAGGGGUAGGGUGGCAGGGGUGGAGGGAGAGGGAAGUGGUGGGAGUGAUGGAUGAAGGAAGGAGAUGAUGGAAGCAAUAAAAAUGAAGAAUUCAGUUGAUAAAAAAGGAAGCUAAUCAUGGAUACUUGUAGGUAAGUAGGUUCAUGCUUCUGGUUCAAAGACAUACAUCCUGGACAUAAAGCACUUGUGCAAUGCAGAAACAUGUAACUGAUCUCAAAAGGAGGCUAAUCAUGGAUACUUUUUCCUUAAGACCCGGACACCUCUCCUUAGUAUCUAGUACAUAUUCAAUGUGAACAUGAUCAAUAAAACAAACUGCAAUGAACUAAGUGGAUAUUGGCAUUCAGGAAUAUGGCAAAUUACACUAACCUCUACCUAGAUUCAUUAGUAAAAAAGACCUCUCAUUUUGUUAUUCCAGUUACAACUACUCCCUAUGCUCACGUUAGCAGAGAAUUUAUUCACAACAUAACACUGGGGAUGCAACUACUCAGAAUAUGUAUGGGUUUGGAACAACUUGUGUGAAGAUACAACAAAUAAUUGGGUUGAAGGAAAUAAUCAAACAUCUGGUUUAAGAAACUAGUGAAGAAUAACUUACAGCUUCUAGUUUGAUAUGCCUUAUGGACACGCAUACCUUCAGCAUAAAUCUGAUACAUACAGGUGAUGCCAGAAGGAGCCUAACCAUGAAUAUGCUUUCCCGAAAAUCAUGAAAACACCCACUAAUAAGAAAUGGAAUUCCACUUGAGCUUAUCAUCCACAUUCAGCUGCACUCGCCGAAUUAUUGAAACAAAGGUAGUUUCUUUUAAAGCUAGAAUUAUAAGAACCUCAACCAGCUUAACUCAAGUACAUUAAAGGUGAACAUUACAUGUUUAAAUGUAAAAUGUCUGUCGAAAUCUAAAAAUGUAUCAAGGAAUUGGUCUACAAUAUGAUGAUAAGGUAAAAACUUCACUGAGAUCAUUAAUAAACUACUAGAGUGAAAUAUUUUCUGCCUAAAUUGAAUGGAGAAAACCCUCUCAAAUCAUUGUGAUGUAGAAAAAAUUUAUAAUUGUAAGGUAUCUAUAGCUAGAAUCCAGUUGCAAAAAUUUUUCCACGAAAAGAAGAAGCAUAACAGUUGAAUCUCACAACAAGGCCACAAGAUCCAUUCAAAUCAUUUUAUUGAUUCUUAGAGUGCUUUUGAACCAUACUUACUGCUAUCCAAUUUAUGAAAAAUAGCAUGUAUAACUAAAUUUCCUUAAGUUAUUAUCUCAAACAGGUGAAUUAUAAGGUUAAAGCUGCACGAGGAAAUCAUCAAGAAGCUAGUAAGAUGCAAUACUUGUUGCCACGCUAACAGACUUUCUAUGUAUCUAAUUUCUAAACCAUCCAGCGCUACACAUGCUUUCAAAAAUGUAUUUCAAUUAUCAGGAAGCAAAAGAAGAACUUUAAUAGAAAACCGGAUAAAGCUAGAGGGCACCUAUUCCAAAAUUUUGGCAAUCAGAGGAAUAAUAAAUAUAACAAUGAAAUUACAACUAAAACAUCUGGGAAUUAAGCUGCAAGACUAAUUUAGUUCACAAAAUUUAUCCUUAAAGCACUCCACAACCAUUCCAAGUUUACAUUAAUCCACAUAAUAAACACCACCAUUUAAAACCAAGUAAUGGUUCCAUACUGUUAAAAGUGUUCAAGUGGUAGGCAGGCAAAAAGAAAGUACAUAACGCUACUUAGUAGUUAGUACAUGAAGGAACGUUUGAGAAACAAGUCAAACACAGGCGAGCGUCUUCAUAAUAGGGUAGGCAUCCCUCCACUCAUUCAAGUUAUCUCUACAGCCAUCAUCAGUAUCUGUUGGCCCUACUUCAGCGAGCACCUCAACGACCAUGUCAUCGAUGUCAUACAAAAUUACUUUGCCCAGAAGAGAUAUCACUAGCCUCGCCUUCUUUUCAUUCUCAUCCUCAACAAAAUAAGUUAACGAAAAUCUACAUCGCCAAUCAUCAGAGUGAUUGAACUCUUCAUCCACCAUUGAGGGGUAUAAAAUAGUUAGAGGAGCAAGAUUAAGAUGGUACUUCAGAACCCACUCAGAACAUCCACUUGCCAACUCAAAAACAUCAAACAACAUUUCUCCAGGGUUGUUAAUAUCAAUAAAGUACAUACAUCCAACAGACUCACCAAAGUACCAAAUUUCAGAGUGCUUCAUUGAGACAGGAGGAGAAGGCAAUGUGAAGUUAACGUCUUCUUUAUCUAAAUCAAAACAAACGAUAUCCUUCCAAUGAGUAAUCCAAUUAAGACAGCCAUUCCAUAACACACCGUUCCUGAAAUGCGUAGGUGAAUGAGCAAAAUCUAUCUCAAAAAUGUCCCCACUGUCCCUCCAAGUCCCAGUUUCUGAUUCAUAUAUAGAGAAUCCAUAAUUAACAUUCAUGAUUCUCAUCGUGGGGGGUCCCAACCAAACACACACCAAUUUAUAGUGAUCAGAUUUUAAAGGAUCAAAUGCAAUAUUCAGAGCCACAAAGGGAUGCCUAUUUUCCAAAAGAUUGAGCUGUGGGAUAAGCCUGUGCUGACUAGUUGUGGGGUUGUACACAGCAAAUUCUCGACUACCAUUGCUCAAUUUUAACACAACAGCUACUAACCCAUUACAAGAAUGUAAAUCCGUAAUUUCACCUUCAGUAAAGAAAUUACUACUUAAGUGGGAGAUGGCAGUUUCCAUUGAACUUGCAUACUCGUCGGAGAAAGAGAUGAAAUUGAGCUCCGGGCAUUUCCGCCAUAUUUUGCGGAACAAAAUGAGGGCUCGAGUGUUGCUGCUGCCACAGUAGAGACGGCGGAAAGAGGGGUUAGAAAUGAUCGAGAGCCAUCCUCUGGAGACACAUUGGAAGCGGAUGAGGGAUUUUGGAGGUAAACAAAGUAAAAUUUGUGUCAAGAGAUCUUCAUUGUGGGCUACGACGAUCCCUGCUGCUGAUAUAUGAGAGCAAUCUUGAGGUGGGUUUUUGAGGGUGUUUGAGGAAUCAGGUGAGAGGCUGAAUCUUGAUUUACCGGCAAGCGGCCAAGCAGUAGAGGAGCGGAGGAGGGUUUCUUCGGCUUCAAAUGGGUGCCCAGCCAACGGGUCCGUGGCGGGAGAACCGCCCUCGUCGGGAAACAUUGCUCCAAAUUCUGUUUCUAUUAUUGUCCACAGGCAGAAUUGGGGAUUUUGAUUUAGAAACCAGUACACCUAAUGGGUUUUGGCAUAUACUAGGAGCAUUCAAAUGUAAUAUUCUAAGUAUAAAUUUUUAAAAUUUUUAACGAAUUAAUUUUUCCCGCGUUGAUAGCUAAUGUGCGUCAGAUGAAUAAUAAUUAUAAAAAUUUUAAUUUUGAAAUUUAAUUUAUAUAAAAUUUAAAUUUAAAAUUUAAUUUUAAUAAUGUAUAAACUAUCAAUUUAUGUAAAAUUUACUCAAUUUUAAUUACUUCAAAAAGCGACUUAAAUUCAUAAAUAGUUCCGAUUGUGCAUGUGCAAAUGUUUAUAGUAGUAUCAUAUAAGUGGGGAGUUCUGCAAUACUUUUUUUUUUUUAUCGAUGAAUUGUAUUUAGAUGAUUUUAAAAUUUUAAAUUAUUGAACGCUGUGAUAAGAGUUCAUUGAAUUACAAUUAUGAGUAAAAUAUAAUAUUAAAGGAGAUGAUAUAAUUUACCUAAAUUAUGUCGUCAAAGGGUAUGAAAUAACAAUUCAUUGUUACAAUCACGAUACAUGAGGUGUGUAUUAGUAAAUGGAGUUAUAUUAAUCCCAACAUUUAUUUUGAGCCAAUAAGAAACUUAACUUGGACACCGAUAAUACUUCUGGAAGCUUCUUAAAAGUCAUAUCCGUGUCGUACAAAAUCACCUCACCCGAUUAUUGGUCGCUCUAAAAGGGUAGUUUUUGCAUCUAUUCGCGAUAGAAUCUGGCAAAAAGUAACGGUUGGAAGGAGCAGCGGCUUUCCAAGGCAAGAAAGGAAAUCAUGCUAAAGGCGAUGGUUCAGGCUAUUCCUACUUAUUCAAUGUCAUGUUUCAAAUUUCCAGAUUCCUUAUUAUCAGAUAUCCAAUCAAUGAUGACCAAAUUUUGGUGGGGAGAUGGUGAUAAAGGAAGACCUAUUCAUUGGAUAAGUUGGGACAAACUCUGUAAACAAAAGGAAGAUGGGGGAAUGGGAUUCAGACAACUACGGGCUUUCAAUUUAGCUUUGCUUACUAAGCAAGCUUGGAGGAUUGCCACACAACCUUCCUCCCUUCUAGACCAAGUUUUCAAGGCCAAAUAUUUUCCUAACUCGGAAUUCUUUUUGGCAGGACUAGGGUCUCGCCCCUCAUUUACUUGGAGGGGAAUAUAUGAAGCACAUAAAUAUUUGGUCGCAGGAAGUAGAUGGAGGGUCGGUAAUGGGAGAGGUAUCCAGAUUUGGAAAGAUCGCUGGCUACCUCGACCUACAACUUUUAAGGUUAUAUCUCGUUCGGAUAAGUUGCCUGAGGAUACUACAGUGGAUUACCUGAUUGACAACAAUAAAAGAACUUGGAAACAGGACCUAUUACACGAGUUAUUCUGGCCAGAUGAGAUUGAAUUGACUAAGAGUAUUCCGAUUGAUAGCACUCAUAAUCAAGAUAAACUCAUAUGGCAUUUUACACAAAAUGGAUUUUUUAGUGUUCGAAGUGCUUACCUUCUAAUUACGCAGCAGUCCGGAAAUUGGCAAGACAUAGCUUCUGGGAGCAAUGGAAUGGCAAAAGGAAUCUGGAAACGAUUAUGGGGCUUAACCUUGCCAGGUAAGAUCAAGAUUUUUUUGUGGCGGGUUUGCAAUGACAUUCUGCCUACGAAUGCCAAGCUUAACACUCGAAAAGUUUUGCUUGAUCCCUCUUGUGCCCUGUGUCACUCUCCAACUGAUGAUAUGAAUCAUCUCUUCUUAACGUGUUCGGUGGCUAUUCAAUCAUGGGCGUUGAGUUUUUUAUCUAGUAAAAUCAGGUUGAAUUCAGCUCAUAAUGUGGUAUCUUGGUUGUCAAAUCUCCAGAUGAAGUUAAAGAAGGAAGAAAUGGAAUUGGUUGCUGUUAUACUCUGGAACUUGUGGAAUAAUCGCAAUGGGGCUGUAUUUGAUUCCUCUUACAAGGACCCGCUCAGUCUGGUAUCCUUUUCGUUACACUUCUUGAGUCAAUUCCAGGAGGCAAACAGGACCCCAAUGGCUGCUGAGCAUUGCUCUGCCAUUCAACAAUCUGUUUUGUCCCAAUGGAAGAGACCUCCUGCGGGCUAUGUUAAAGCUAACUUUGGCAGGGCUAUCUUUGUUGAGGGGGACAUUUCAGGUAUUGGAGUUGUCAUUAGAGAUGCUGAGGGUAAUUUCGUGGCAGGAUUGGCAAAGCAAAUUUCAGGGAUUUUUGCACCAGAGGUUAUUGAAUCUUAUGCUGCAAAGGCCGCGGUUGAGUUGUUGUUGGAUCUACAUUUGCACAUGAUUAUUCUUGAGGGUGAUUGUCUAAAAGUCGUUAAAAUGCUUCAAACUACAGAGACAGAUGCAUCAGCUUGUGGAAUGCUGGUAGAUGAUAUACUCAUAGAUAUACAAAGCUUUGCAGCGUGGGAAGCAUCAUGGGUGCCUAGACAGCUGAACAAUGUCGCACAUUGUGUUGCUAAAUAUGCUUGUUCUAUUUCUAAUGGCUGUAUAUGGAGGGACUUUCCUCCAGAUUUUAUUAUUACCGCGCUUGCUGUGGACAUCAUCUCAGAUUAAUAAUAUUUUUGUUCUCUUUCUAUAAAAAAAAAAAAAAAAAUCACCUCACCCGAUAGUACAGGCAACGAGAGGUAAUACAAGCAUUGGUUUUUCUUCUUUUGUGCCAUCCCAAAGACUAUAAAACUGAUUGAAGACUUCAUCCUUCAACCCCUUCAUUAACGGACCUUGUCAAGUUUCCCUGGCACGAAUUACCUAUCCAAUAAACAUCACCAUUCCAUAAAACGCCAUUAUUGAAAGACCACCAAGACCACGUAUCUCAAGAACAGGUGUCCUUACUCCUUAGUAUCCCUCCAAAUCCAAGGGUCCUGUUUGGUAAAUAAAUUUUUUGGAUGUAUUCUUAAAAAAACUCUGGAAAAAUCGUCCAAAACGUCCUUCAUAUUUUGUAAAAUAACUUUUUUCAUCCCUCACUUUUAAAAAUGUAAUUUUAUGUCCCUUACAUAUUCACAUCGGUCAAAUUUAGUCCCUAACUAGGUUUCCGAUCAUUUUUUGGCCAGAAUCCAUCAUGUGCAAGGUACGUGAUCAUUUUUGAAAGGUAAAUCUGUCAAAUUAUAUUUUACAUAAUCUAAGCUAUAGUCCUCCACAUUUUAUAAAACAAAUUUUUUCGUCCCUCAUAUUUUAUAAAAUAAUUUUUUCAUCCCUCACAUUUCACAAAAUGAAUUUCUCCAUCCCUCACAUUUCAAAAAAUGAAUAUUUCCAUCCCUCACUAAUUAUGUGUGUAAGGGAAACCCUAAAUAUGUGUGUGUGUGUGUGUGUGUGAAUACAUUUUGUUUAAACACAUGUAUAUGUUUAUUUGAUUUUACUUAAUUAUACGAAUAGCAUAAAUAUAUGUAUGUGUCUAUUUGAUUUCACUCAACAAUACGAAUAUCAUAUAUUAUACGUGAUCAUUUGAUUUCAUCUGGUAUUAGCCAGUAAAAAAUCUUACAUUCAUUGUCAAGUUAGCUAAUAAAACUAUUUUUGGUCAAAAUACAAUAAGAAUAUGCAAAUUAAGGUUCUAUUGGUAAAAAUUAGUCAUAAUCAUACAAAAAGAGAAGAUAGCCCACAAGUUGGGCCCAAUUACAUACAUGUGUUUAUGCUAUUAUUAUUAAGCAAAAUCAAAUAGAUAUAUACAUGUGUUUAAAAAAAAUGUAUUCACACAUAAUUAGUGAGGGAUGGAGAAAUUCAUUUUGUGAAAUGUGAGGGAUGAAAAAAAUCAUUUUAUAAAAUGUGAGGGACGAAAAAAUUUAUUUUAUAAAAUAUGGAGGACUAUAGAUCAGAUUAUGUAAAAUAUAAUUUGACAAAUUUACCCUUAAAAAAUGAUCACGUGCCUUGCACAUGAUGGAUUCCGGCCAAAAAAUGAUCAGAAACCUAGUUAGGGACUAAAUUUGACCAAUGUGAAUAUGUAAGGGACAUAAAAUUAUACUUUUAAAAGUGAGGGAUGAAAAAAGUUAUUUUAUAAAAUGUGAAGGACGUUUUGGACGAUUUUCCCAAAAACUCUCCUAUAAUAUGUGUGAUUUUUUAAAAAAUUUACUGUAGCAAAAAUAAAAAAAAUUUCUCAACUGGGAACAAUAAUUUGCAAUCCCAAAAAAUUGUGAAAAUUAUUUGCUUUGCCAAAAUAAUUUAGGGAACCUGUACCCAAGUUGAUUCUGAAUUAGGCACGCACAGAAGUGGCAAAUCGAGCUCUAUCUUUUUGAGCUUUCAUUUGUUUAAUUAAUGUCGACUGGCAAAUGUAAUUAGGACUUGGAAGUUGAAGUAUUUAAUUAGGAUUCUCUUGUGUGUGUUAAUUUGAUCAGGUGUUUUAGAAAGUGCAAUGGUAAGUGAAAGGUAUAUUAAGUAUGACAAAAAGGGCACAACGGAUUUUUUGUCCUACAUCCUAUAUCACUCCCUGUUCCACUUUUUAUUAUAUUGCUAUUUCGCCUACAUAAAUAUCAUAUCUUAGUUCUUUUUUAUUUUCUUAAAAUUCAACAACUAUUAAUUGAGUAAAAGAUAAAUACAGCAGAUUCAAAAAAGCAAUAUAUAAUAGAAAAUUAAAAAUAUAGCAGAAAAUUCAUAAAAAUUCUCAUUUUUUAUGCAUUUUGAUUUUUUGAAUUUGUUAUAUUUUGUGUAUUACUCAAUUAAUAGUUAUUGGAUAUUAAGGAAACAAAAAAGAACUAAAAUAUGAUAUUUCAGAAACCUCCCCUGAGGCUUUUGAUAAUUACAGCGAUGUCCCUUGAUGUUUGAAAAAUUAUAGAAACAUCCCUUAAAAGUAUAUUUUGGUGACAAAUACUGAUGUAAGCACAAAACAUCUAAUGAAUAUCCUAUAUUACCCCUAUUUGAUUUAUAAAACAAAUUGAAUGAUAAAAGAAAUCAAAUAUUAGCAUUAUUUCCUAAGUAAAAAAUUUUAAUGUAGCUCUUUGUAGUAAAAUUUAGGCCAUAUUUUAAGGCAUUAUUUUUUAAUGUUUGGAUUUCUUUUCUUUCUUUUACUAAGUUGUGAAGAAACUAUUUUUAACAAAUGAAUCUAUUUAUAAAACUAAACAAGAAAUCUAUUUAAAUGACCUAAGAAUUGAAUAUCAUGUAUUAACUGUGAUGAGCUUACAAAUUUUGGAUAAAGAAAUAUUUGCAGAAUGUGAUUUUCUUUUUUCUUUAUACCCAUAUUCAUUUAGAAUUUAUAAAGUUUUCAAGGUUAUUAUAGUAUUUUCAUAAUACCAAGGGAGAUAAGUGUAAUUUUUUAAAUCUUAAGAGAAGUGGCUACAAUUGUUAGAAAUCUUAAACUUCUUUUUUUAAUUAUGCACUGCUUAUUUAGUUAUUUUACCUUGCAAGUUACAAACAUAUGUAAUAAUAUUAAGACCUGUUACAUAAAACUAUAUAAAAAAAAAAGGCCUAUCAAUGCAUAUAAUUAUUACAUUUUAAUUAUUAUUCCAAGAAAACUUUAAAUGUGAUGGAGGUAAAUGAAUAUGUAUUUUAUUUAAAGAGAUAAGGCACUUAUAAAGACAAAUUCCAAUGGUUCUUCAAAUAUGAAUUAUCUUCUCAAAACCUUAAUAAAACUAAAUAGUUCAUUCUUAAUAUCUGCCUUAAGCUUCACAUUGAUAUAUAACCCCUUUGCCUAUCUUACUCUUUAUUAUUGGCUAAAAAUUUAUUUUGUCACAUUCCUAAGUAUUACAGUGUAACCUUGAAAACUAAUUUAGUUGCUAAUUGUGUUCUAUAUGUAAUACCUUAAGAGUUUUAACUUUUAACUAAUAACUAAUAAGUCGAGACUUAGCAAAUCAAAAGAACUCAUCAAUUGAAGUAAUUAGCACUUUAAAAAAAUGCUACCACACAUACUCCCAGAAUAGUUAUUUUCAAGUCCAAUAUAAAAAACUUUAAAAGCUAUUAAUGCAUAUAAUUUUUUAAAAAUAAAGCAUAUAUUGUUUAUUUCUUCAAUACUAUAGAAAGACAUGAAAAUAUCAUAAGGAAAAUGAACAUUUAGUGGAAAGAAUAUCUCAAAGUAAUAGGUUUAAAUAUGUUAAAUAUCCAAUGUCGCAAUAUCAUUUAUUUUUCCUACCUCCACAAUUGAGUGGUUAAUCAUACUUAAUUAUUACCAUAAAAAAACUAAUAAAAAUGAUCCAUGGAUUAAAAUAUUUGCCGAAAGGAUUUCAAUAGAUAUAUUCGAAUUAUUGAGUUUCAUGCCUGCAACUCCUAUAUACAACUGUGAUAAUAUGACAUCAACAAAGAAAUUCUAAUAUUACAGGUUCCGCUAAAUUCUACUUUUAUGCUUAGGAGGUAUUAACAAUACAUUAAGUUCAAAUUGGAACAUGCACCAAGUUUCCACCCUACAUAAUUUUUUUCUACUUCAUUUAGUGUCAUCAUCUAUUUUCUUCCUUCCUUUUAUAGAAUAUCCAAUCACAUGAUUGAGUUUAAAAAAGGUAUGAACCAAAUAAAGGUUCUCGAGAGUAUUUCUUAGUCUAUUCUUGAAUUAUUAAUUAGUUUAAAACUAAAAUGGUUCUUUCACUGAUUAGUAAUUAGAUUAAGCUUAUAUCCUAAUUGUUUUAGAAUUAUUUUGGUUCCAACUUUUUGAUCUUGUUGUUCUAUGUACUAUUAUCAGUUAUCAAUACUAUUUUCCUCUCUUCAUUGUUUACCAUGUGAAUUUAAGACACCUUUUAAGUUCACCUAAGAGUAGUGACACUUAAAAAAAAAGAGAGAGAAAUUAAGAUCAGUAACAAUUUGUUGCUUGAUAUUUUGUAUUUUAGCUUUUCACAUUUUCUUGGCUUUCUAUGGUAAUUGACUGUAUAUUUUUUUCUUCUAUUGAGAGAAAAAUAAGUGCUUUCCAUACUAAUUUUUGUUAAGUUGAAAACCAUCAAAAUCUUUUAACUUAUGAUUACAACUUCUUAAUUAGUUGCAAAAUCACUGAAAUAGAUAUUAGAAGUUUCAAUAUAGAUAAUAUAUAUUAAUAUGCAAAUUUACUAAAAAAUCAUUUGAAAAUCUAGUUUAAGAAGUAAAACCUAGACAAGAUAAUAUAGAACCAGGUUCCUUGCCACAUAAAAUGAUACAGCUUAAAUAGUACCACAUUAGUCUCCUUGCUUUCCGCUAUGGAAACCCCAUGCAAAACGGUGUUUCUAUUCAUUUGGUUAGAUGUUCAAAUCUUAAUUGCUAAUCACAAACAAAUUCCCCUUAUUUUGCGUCACUACCUACCAUUAAGCGACAACUCUAUUGAAAGAUUGCAGUAACCGUAUCUCAUUACUCUCCGAUUAGGCUUUUUAGCCCUUGAAGAUGAUUUCCUUUGAGAGUUAAAGUUGACACAAUAUACAAAUAUUUACAUAAUAGAGAGCGAAUUCAGGGGCAAAAAAUCAAGCUUAUUAUGAAGGGACAAAUUUUUAAUAGAAAUAUUGAUUAAGUUCGUUACACAUUAUGUAUAUGAAGCAUAUCUAAUACAAACUCAACAAUGGAAAUUUAAACACUUCAUGUGUCUUAAAAUUUGAAAGUUUAGACAUAUCUCAUAAUAGAAUAUGAGAAGCUAGUUAUUGCUAUUGCUCCGAUUGAUAGUGUGACAACAGUUGAAAUAUUGCAAAGACUGUUUCUAAGAUAGUAAUGUUAAAAGGUUUACAAUCUUUAUGUCUUGAUAAAUUUUUUCACUUAAAAAAUAUGCAGGUAAAAUUAAAAUGGUGUGUUCCAUAGUACACCACUUAUAAAACGUCAUUUAGCUCAUAAAAUUUACCCAAUUAAUAUUUUUUAUCCAAAAGUAAGUAAAGGCUACUCAAACAAGAGUAACAAUUUUCAAUAUAAUCCAGCUAUAGCCAUUGAAGCAGUUAAAGCUCAUUUAAGGAUUAGUCAAAACUUAUAUGGUAUCCCAACCUUAAGUGAAUAUAUGCAUGAAGUCUAUUAAUAUGUUGCGUUCGAUAUUAUACCAUGUACAAAUGUUUAUCUGGAGAGCAAAAAUUGUCCAUUUUUAAUUUUGGAAAAAAUUCUUUAUAUUUGAAAGCAAGUAAGGCCACAAAACCCCUGUUUUGUUAUCCAACCUCUGGUGAAUAUAUGUAUGAAGUACAUUGCAGAAUUCUAUUUUUUCUGAACUAUAACACUCGAGCUUGGAAUGAUUAUAUAAUAAUCCUUGUCACAAUUUUGCAACAUAAACAUUAUAAGAAUCACUUCAAUCUUUAACCAUCGGAGUUAUCUUAAAUUUUAAAUCCUAAAAGCCAUAUUGUUAUCCAAGCACUUUAGUUCACAAAAACUAUGUGCUUUGUUCUUCAAGUAAAGCCUAAAAAUAAAGGAAAAAAACCUGUGGGUUUUUUCUUCUCUGGUUGCUUGCUUGAAGAACGAAGGUAAAAGAAUCAUUAUUUUGAAGCAACUGAAUAAAUGAAGUCUUGAUCUUGUAGGAAUCUAAGAGAUGCUGGUUGUAUAAAGUGAUGAUCGGAUGAAGAAAAAAUUUUCAAUUAGGACCGUCUUUUAUGUAGGAUAUCUAUGAGUGUUUAAUGCAACAACGCAGCAAGAGUAUUUUAGAAAACUCCACAAUAAGUGAGGAUAUAUUAAUCAUCACAAAAAAGAGAAGGAAUACCAUUAUAUUAUAUAAUAAAUUAGGAUAAAAUACACUUUAUUCCCUUGUGAUUAGCAAUUUUUCACUUAACCCCAUAUAGUUUCAAAAAUUAUAUUUAAACCCCUCAUAAUUUAAAUUAAAGUGUUAAAGUGGCAGAAAUGAUCCUAUGUAAUAGAACUCAUGAAAAUGUCGAAAUUAUCCUUAUUUAAAAAUAAAAAUGGUUGAAGUGAGCAAAAUAUAUAAAUAUAAUAUGUACGACAUUUUAACCCCGUAUAAUUCAAUGUUUUACCAUAUAACUCUUUUAUAAUUUAGUGGUUUACCACAUAAUCUCGUUAUAAUUUUCAAAAUAUAUACAUAACCCUCCUUAGUAAAUAGUUUUCAACUUUACAUAAAUGUAUUUUUGACAUUUUAGUUGACUCUAUUAUGGAAUGCAAAUUUCAUCGUUUUGAUACUUUAGUUCAAAUCAUAAGAGAAUUAUGUAUAGUUUUGGAAACCAUAGAGAAAUUACGUGAAAAAGUACUAAAUCACAGGAGAUAAAGUGUAUUUUACCCUAAUAAUUAAUAAUAGAUAGAUGACAUAUAUGAGUGUUUCUAUAUAUAUAUAUCCUUAUACCCUAUUUGGUGAUUCCAGUGCAUUUUGUUGUCUUAUACGUGUAAGAAAAGCAUAGAUUUUUUAGGCUUAUAUUACAUUUUUGUCCUUUGCUUAUUCAUUGUUUCCCUGUAUACUCUCAAAAGAUCCCUUUGUAUGGUCCUUUAGCUCUUAUGAAGUGGGCUUUUUGAUCAAUUAGUUUGACAAGAUUGCUAUUUUAAAUCACUAAACAGUAAUUUGAGGCCCCAAUUUGCUAAUUCCUCCUCAAAGAUGCUUUUCUUAUGGGUUAUGAUAUUUUUGAUUGAGGGUAAAAUUGGAAAGUUAGUUUUUUUGUAUCCACUUGCAUGUUUCUACUGUUUCCAAUGCCAUUUUCAGCAGAAUCACAAUCAUAUACGUGUAAAAACUCAAUACGGAGAUAGAGAUGUACUGUGCCUCAUGAAUAUAGCUCUGUUCUUUUAGCAUCCACGUUUCGGGUGCUCUGUUGCUUCUGGUUACUUUCAACUUAAAUUCAUCUGCCUGUCUGCAUUUUCGUUGCUCGUAAUGAUUUUUUUUUUGUUUCUCUUUGCUAUAGAUGUUAAGAUUUUAUUUUCGCUUCAAUCUCAUCCACUUUUUUUUGAUGAUUUUUCUGUUGUAUGCAUAUUAUUCAAUAAAUAACUACUAAUCAGUUAUUUUCCUCUUGCUUUGGAUGCAUGGUUCCGGUCACUGUGAAUUUAUGGUUUGCAUGAAUGUGUUUUUGACGUUUUUAUUCUUUUUUCCAGCAGCUACUUAAUACUUGUGCAUAUCUUUUGAUCGGUAAUGUUUCCUCACCUAUAUUUGGUAACUUUUGCUCUGAUUUUCUCCAUCUGCAUGGUUGCAUGAAAUUUGAUUUAUAUUCCUGUCCAUCUUUCUCGAAGAAGCAUUAACUAAAUAUAUUUUUCUCUCGUUUGUGAAUUUUAGCCAGUAAUAUUAAAGUGCUUGUACUCACUGUUAAUUAUAUAUAUAAAGCAAAGCAUAGUUAACUAUAUCAUAGGAUUAGUAGUUAUAGUGAUAGCGAUAAGGUAGCUGCAUCAAAAGCUAUUCGUAAUCAGAAGUUGAGGGAGAAAUGUGCUAUGUUAUCAUCUGAGGAGAAAGAAUUGAGUCGUCUCAAGCAGAGAGAGGCAUAUCAAAAAAGGAAAGCAAAAAAAAAAAAAGAAGCUAUUCAUUUAAGUUAUCGAAGAGAAACCAGCAGUAAAGCUGCGAUUUUGCUUUGCUCUGACAUGCAAGUUACUCCUGAUGAAGGUACAGCUAUUAUUCGUCGUAAUGACUCGUUGAAAUUUAGUAUUGAUCACAAUUCUCAUCUGUAUGAAUGAUAAUUAUUCAGUGUGAUUGUUUUUCUGUUAGGAGUGGUGGAUAACCAACUUAACAAAUGCUGUGAAAAAUCCAUUAGCGCUCAGAAUUUAUCAGCUGGCAACAAUUUUGAUCGCCAACUGCAGGCUAAGAUGCCUUUAUGUACUGAUGAGACUAUUUUUAAUUGGAAAAAAGGUAGAUUUAAUGUUACUGCAUUGCCGUUUCAUUUCUGCUAUUGUUUAAGAAUUUUAGUUGGGAAUAAGGGAAACUUCAUCUAAUGAUGUCUAGACUGUUGGACAAUUAAUGUCUCCCAAUUUUGGGUGUACAAAUCGUAAUUACCUGCAAUUUUCUCUUUCUUUAGGUGCAUUGCAACCUGCUGAUAAGCAGUCUUGCGAAGAAAGUAUCCAUUCUGAUGAACUGCAUCAGGUCCAACUAUGUGCAAAGACAAUUACAGUCUGAUGAAGUUUCUGCAAAAUGAAGUUUUGCAGGCCACUGAAGUCCAGUUUGCAGCAAAUGAAGGUUUAUCCAUACUGUUACAUGCACAGAAACACACACAGAGAGGCUUAGUUAUUUGUUCUUUGUUCAGUUAUUUAUUCGUUUCAUCAUGCACUGUGAGGAGGUGAUUUUCGGUUGGUAACUAGACCGACCUGGAUCAAUCCUCUCUGAGAUGAAGUGAGGUGAACUCCUGUGUCCGAAGUGAAUCUCGGUGUCCGAAGUGAGUGGCGGGGCUUCUCCCCUGGGAUCACUCCGACGAUCAAGUUAGUAUGAGAACGAGAAUAAUAAGAGUAUAAGCAAAUGAACAGUGUGUUGUUUUUUUGUUGGGAGUGUAUCUGGGGUAUUUAUAGAGGGAGAGUAGAGGACAGAGCGGAGGGCUUAUGCUGGUGGGACCCACCCUCUGGUCAUUACGGCUCUGUCCCGUGUCAGGAGGUCUGACUCUGACACUGUAGCUGCCUGAGCAUGAUGACGGGGAGUAUUGUGCAGGUGCCAUUAAGUGCCUCCAGUGCUUUUCAGAUAAAGCACUGGUCCUGGGUGAUGUCAGGUGGUUUGACAUCAUCAGCGUGCAGCUGAGGUGGGGGUGCCGAGGUCGGCUACACAGUAGGCUAGGGAAACGGGCGAGGCCGAGUUCAGGGGUGAUGCCCGGGACACGGAUGAGCUCUGAUGAGGGACGAGGUGAGUUCACCUCGGCCACUCGGGAUGACCGAGGUGAGCAUCCUCAAUAAGCCCCCCAAGCCUCGGAUGCUCCGAGCAAGGGAGGUGCCGAGGCUUCCUUGUGCUGAAGUCAUGAAGAGUCGAGGUCCCGAAACUGCUCCGGAAGAUGCGGGGACGUGACACGUGGGCGAGUCAUUUGACAGGACGUGGAGGGUCGGUUGACACGCAACCGUCAUGUCGUGAAGUAGUGGGACGUUUCGUGAUGAUGGGGUGUCAGUCGAAAGGACGGGUCAUUAAUGAAGAGAGAGAGGGCCACGGCGUUUUGAAUUCGAACGUGGUCGUCUUUUCGUAUUCUUGCCACCUCUUUGGAUUCUGGCCAUCCCCUAUAAAUAGGGGGUCCUUUUCACCGCAUGGCCCAUCAUUUUCUUCUUCUGCCUGCGACUUGCAAAAUUUGCGAGCGUUGCCGAGAUCAAUCCUGCCAGCCGAGAUCACAGCCGAAGUCAUCCACUUCGUCCAGUUCGGUAUACAAUAGUAAGUAUCCCUUUUCCUUCUUAUCUUGUCUUUCACACAUGGUCAAAACGGCUAAAAUUCAUAAAGAAACUGUGACCCCGAGCUACCAGGCCGAGGUGAGGCCAGAUCCGGAAGAAGAAGCGACAACGUCCAGUCCUGAGGGGUCGACGCCGAGUUCUGAAGAAGGAUCAACCGAAGUGAGAGUCGGCGAGGCAGGCUCGGGAUUGGAAUCGUCCGAGAUGAGCGAGGGUGGUUCCGAGGUCGAAUACAAUACCGAGCUCGGGACCGAGAUACCCCAUGACGAGGGCGUUCCGGAGCCAGUUGCUCCAGUGGACGCAGCCGACAUCGACUUCGGCCAGAUGCCGAAGUUUAGGAGUCGCGUAGGAAGAGAUAGGGCCGUGAAGGUGGUAGACAAGUACCCCUUCCGGCCGUGGUACGAAAUUUUGCCGCCCGAGGUGGAUGACACAGCCGCGAAUCCCACCUUUGGCAUGGUGGCCAUCUACGUUCAACAGCUGGAGGCCGGGCUGAGGAUGCCGACGUCGAGGUUCCUCCGGGACUUACUUCGUCACUUCCAGGUGAGAAUCACCCAACUCACCCCGAAUGCGAUCCGCAUCAUUGUGGGGUUUGAGAUGCUGUGCCGACAUCAGGAGGUGACUCCCUCCGUCGAUCUCUUCCGCCGAUGCUACACCCUCAAGGCGCACGCGACGGAUAAGGGAUGGUUUUAUGUUGGCAACUGGAACAAUGCCAUCCCGAAGUUGGUGAUCGGUGCUCCCAACUCGAUCAAGAACUGGAAGCGCGACUACUUCUUCGUGUCCGGAGUGGACUUCCCGAGGGGUUUUUGGUGGAGGCCAAUUAAGGCGAAGGCCGACCCCUCUGUGGGAGAUGUCGAAGAGGAGUCCUUCCAGAAGCUGAUGAAGUCGGGACUUCGGCUGUUCAGCCAUGACUACCCCGAAGCCGUGCUCGUGGAUGGGGGGAUAAGUCGAGCCGUGAUCAAUACUACCAAAGCUCCCUUCUUUUCCACUGAACUUAAGAAACCUUGUAAUUUUCUUUCAUGACUUUUCUUUUCAUUUCGGCUAAGGCAUAUGAUAAUAUUUAUUUCUUGUGCAGUGGUCAAGUUGUCCGAUAUCGUCGGAUCCAGCUCGUCCGAAGUGGCCAAGAGGCCGAAGAGGAAGAGUACUGACGAGACAUCGGCACUUUCGCCGAAGAAGAAGAAAGCACAAGGACAGGCUACCAAGACCCCGGCGGCUACAAGCACUCCCACCAAGGUCGGCCAGAGCAGCUCGGCCACCGCGGCUACUGGGUCCACCUCGUCCGUGCCAAAGGGGGUGCCUUUUGGAGUCGUUACGGCACUCCCACCUCCUCAGGGCCGAGGCAAGCAGUUGAAGGCCCCGGCCAAUCCAGUCUCGGGGACCUCGCUAUGGAAUUUUUUCCAUAACCCCCCAGUGUUUCCCGGGGAGGAGAAGACGCACUCCGGCAAUCAUUGGUGUCCGAACUGGAAAGUUUCGGUCAACGAUAGGUGCAGCCAGCCUCGGGUUGCCCAAGAGCUAGUAAUGCACUCCACUCUGCCAAGGGAUUUGGAGUUCAUGAAAAAACUGAGCCCGGCCGAGCUGGUUCAAAGUCUGAUGGUGACUACGGCUUCCAACUCAGCUUUUACGGCCGAGAUGGCUCACAGAUACUGUGCUCUGGUCGAGGAGCAGGACACCGGCAAGCUACAGAAUCAGAUCUCCAAGUUGGAGAAACAACUGGGGGUGUCCGAAUCCGAGAAGUCGGAGCUUCAGAGGCGACUUCAGGAGGCUGAAGCUAAGGGUGAGGAGGCCGAGGGUACGAUGAAUAGUGUCAGAUCAGCCCUCGAGGAGGAGCAGAAGAGGGGGGACGAGGUGAAGAAAUCCCACGCACAAGCUCUCGAGAGUGCUGGAGCCUCGGCAGUGAACGCGUUUCGGAGGUCCGAUGCCUUCAUCAAGGACCUCGGCCAACUGCUUACGCCUAAUUUCAUGUUUGGCUUCACAUCGGCCAUUGACGAGACCGCAGCUCACCUCUCCUCCGAAGCCUUGGAGUCUUUGAAAAGCCAUGCCAGCUACAAUGAAGACUCCAAGAAGUUAUGUGAUCGGAUGGCCGAAGGCAUUCAGGCAGGAAGGAACUUGGCCGAAAUCCAGGUCGAGUUCAACAAGUGGCUGUCCGAACUCGACGAAGUGUUCGAGGAGGUGGAAGUGGAGGAAGCUGAAGGAGAGGAAGCUGGGGGAGACGAAGCCGGAGUGGACAUCGGCGAAGAGCAUGGGGGAGACGAAGCCGGAGUGGACAUCGGCGAAGAGCAUGGGGGAGACGGGAUUCACCCCGGCGGGGGAGAAGAUGUUCACUCCGGUGGAGAAGAGGCCAAAGAGAAGGCUGCCCAAGAUGGGGCCGAGGUGGGGAAGGGAGCCGAGACUGGGGUCUAGGCUCUUAGUCAUUAGGGAGGUGGCCGAGGUGAGGAGUGCUUAGUCGGGCUCCGACCUCGGUCUUGUAUUCUUUGUAAUGCCUUUUUAUUGAAUGGAAUAUCUACUUCUUCUCAUCUCGGCUCUUUUAAUUUCUCGUUUCGUCCCUUGCUUGUCCCCCUUAUUUUUUAAUAACGAAUGCUGGGCAUCAUAUUGUUGAAAAAUAACUAGAUAGCUGAAGUCAACUUGACAAGAUAACUGGAUGAAGUCAACUUUGAUGAAAUAACUGAGAUGAAGUCAUAACUUCAAGCAUAAUACAACCUAAGAUUCUCGGCGUGCCAAGACCUCGGCACUAAUGAGUCAUCUCGGUAACUAAGUUUACAAUACCCCUUGAGGUCAGAUUCCACGACUCGGUAAGGGCUUUCCCAUUUCGGGCAUAGUUUUCCUUGUGGUUCAGCUCGGCUGACUGAGUUUUUUCUCAGAACCAAGUCUCCAGGCUGGAAUCUACGGUGUUUGACCCGAGCAUUGUAAUAGUGUGCCAGUGCGUUUUUGUAGGAGGCUAUCCGGGCUGAGGCGAGAUCCCUUCGUUCUUCGACAAGGUCGAGGUCCAGCUGCCUCUCUUUAUCGUUCACCUCGGCGGCAUAGGCUGCCAGCCGAGGACUGGGGGUAAGGAUCUCAGCCGGGAUGACAGUUUCGGCGCCGUAGGUCAGUGAGAAUGGGGUCUCUUGUGUUGCUGACCUCGGCGUCGUCCUAUACGACCACAGGACACUGGGGAGUUCCUCCACCCAAGAUGACCCAACUCGGUGUAGUCGGGUCUUGAGACCAUGCAGGAGAGUUCGGUUGAAGUUUUCUGCUUGACCAUUGGCCUGAGGGUGGCCUACCGAAGUGAAGUGUUGUUUGAUGCCGAGGUUCUCGCACCAAGUCUUGAACGGGUUCUCGGCAAAUUGUCUCCCAUUGUCCGAGAUGAUGAUCUGAGGUAUGCCGAAGCGGCAGACAAUGCAUUUCCAAAAGAAUUUUUGAAUGGCCAGCCCCGAGAUGGUCCGAAGUGGCUCGGCCUCGACCCACUUAGUGAAGUAGUCCACAGCAGUCACCAGGAAAGUAUAGCCCCCGACCGCUUUAGGGAAAGGACCUAUGAUAUCUGUCCCCCAUUGCUCGAAUGGCCAAGGUGAAGUGAUGGGGACCAUGAAAUUUGAAGGCGUCACGGUGGGAGUCACUGCGGACAUGGAUUUGUUGGGCGCCGAGUCUACGGGCUAGCUGGAGUCCAGCAAUUAAAGCCUCGUAUUCGGCUUCGUUAUUGGUGGCCGGGAAGCCAAAGCGGAGGGCGUAGGAGCACACCUCUCCCUGAGGUCCUUCCAGAAGAAGUCCGGCACCGCUGCCAUCUCCAUUAGAAGACCCAUCGACAUACAGUGUCCACGUGGAUGGGGUGGACACCUCGGCUUUGACGGAGGUGGACUCCGGACCUUCCGUGAAGGUCAGCUCGGCCAGGAAAUCGGCUAGGGCUUGCGCUUUUAUGGCGGUGCGGGGCUCAUAGGACAAGUCAUACUCUCCCAAUUCCACAGCCCACUUGGUGAGGCGACUAUAGGCUUCGGGCCGCACCAAUAUUUGCCGAAUGGGUUGAUCGGUCCUGACGGAGACGGGAUGAGUUAGAAAGUAGGGUUUCAAUCGCCGAGCUGCGUGGACUAGCCCCAGCACCAGUUUUUCCACUUGAGUGUAUCGAGUCUCCGGCCCGCGAAGAGCUCGGCUGACGUAAUAGACUGGCACUUGGGUGCCCUCAUCCCGAAUGAGCACAGCGUUGACAGCCUCGUCGGCUGCAGAGAGGUAGAGGUAGAGCUUCUCCUCGGGCCGAGGUGAAGCGAGGGUAGGUAGAUGGUGUAAAUACUGCUUCAGCUGGUCGAAAGCAGCUUGACACUCCUCAGUCCAGGCGAAUUGGUCAGCCUUUUUCAGCACCUUAAAGAAGGGCAGAGCUUUCUUGGCGGAUUGGGACAGGAAUUGAUUCAGAGCGGCCAGGCGUCCAUUCAAUCUUUGGACUUCUCGGACGUUCCGAGGUGGGGACAUGUCCUGAAUGGCCCUGACCUUGUCGGGGUUGGCCUCGAUUCCCUGUUGGGAAACCAGAUAUCCCAGGAAUUUUCCCGAAGUGACGCCGAAGACGCACUUCUUGGGAUUCAGGUUCAUCCUCGAGUCUCGCAGGACACCAAAGACUUCCCUCAAGUCUGACAGGAAGGAUGAAGUGGCGAGACUUUUGACGAGGAUGUCAUCCACAUAGGCCUCCACAUUGCGGCCGAUCUGAUUUUUGAAGAGUCGGUUGAUCAGCCUUUGGUAGGUCGCCCCGGCGUUUUUUAGCCCGAAGGGCAUUGUGGUGUAGCAAUAAACACCUUGGUCGGUGUAGAACGCCGUUUUCUCUUGAUCCUCUUCACUCAUUCCCAUUUGAUGAUACCCUUUGAAGGCAUCUAGGAAGCAGAGGAUCUCAUACCCCAUCGCCGAGUCGACGAGGGCGUCUAUCCUAGGCAGAGGAUAGCAAUCUUUGGGGCAGGCCUUGUUGAGGUCGGUGAAGUCUACACACAUUCUCCAUCCACCAGUGUCCUUUUUUACCAUAACUGGAUAUGGCCUUGCUGCGUUCGGGGCCGAAGUGCCUUCGUUUCUGCCGCACAGGUCGGGCCUGUGGGUUAACGUUAAGUCGGUGAGUCAUAAGCUCGGGUGGCACUCCGACCACUUCAUCUGCGGACCACGCGAAGAUGUCUCGGUGGUCCUUGAUCAAGGAGAUCAUUUCUUCUUUCAGGGGUGAGGGGAGUCCGGCCCUUACUUGGACCACUUGGUCAGGUUUGGCUUCAUCCAAGAUCACUUGUUCCACCUCAUCCCCAGGCUCAAGCCUGUUGGGCUCUCCUGCCUUUUUAGGGUCGAUGCAGUCUAUGGAGAGGACAGCCGGCCUCUUUUCUUCUGACCUCGGCGGGGGCUGAGGUCCGACUGCAGCUUGGAUGGUGGCGAGUUAGCAUUCUCGGGCGGCGCCCACGUCGCUGCUCACCUCGGCCACCCCCUCUGGCGUCGGAAACUUGAAGCUCAGGUGGUAGGUGGAAUAUACAGCUCUUAAGACGUUGAGCGUGGGCCGGCCUAUCAGCAUGUUGUAAGGAGAGUCCGCUUUGACCACCGCAAAACUGACAGGCACAGUUCGGCAACGGGGAUGACGCCCGAUAGUCACCAUUAAAUUCACCAUGCCCUCCGGUUGGACGACGUGUCCCCCGAAGCCGACAAGGGGAGUUCUGACCGGAGUGAGUUGCUCCCGGGUCAACUUCAAACUCUCGAAGGUCCGGUAGUACAUGACGUCUACCGAGCUUCCGGGGUCAACGUAGACAUUUUUGACUAUGUAAUUGUUUGUGAGGACCUCAACCACGAGGCCCCCGUGAUUGCUGGAGGCAGCGGGGACAGGGUCGCGGGGACCAUAGGUUAUCACCUCGGACAGCCUCGAACUCGGCUCGGCCACAUCCAUACCGGCUUGGCGGUAGGUCCGCUUCCGGGAGUUCUGGCUGUCUCCUCCCGUUGGGCCACCUGAGAUGGUGUUGAUCACCCCGGCAAUGUUUGGGCCGUAGCCCGGCGAUCCGUCGCGUGGAGGCCUCUGAUUCCCCUUAUGGUCCUCGGGACCUCGGCAAUUAAGCUUGGUGUCGUGCCGGUCCUCUCGGCGAGGAUCUCGGCUCUCCCGGUGGGAGGCACUUCGGUUGAAGCUUCCAUCUUUGCGGAUGAACUGCUUCAGGUAUCCUUGUCGGAUUAGGUUUUCGAUCUCUCGCUUCAGAUCGUUGCAAUCUUCAGUCUCGUGCCCAACGUCUCGGUGGUAGGCACAGUAGAGAUUGGAGUUCCUCCGAUCCCUCCUCCCCGGGAUCUCAGGAGGUGUUCGGCCGAGGUGGUUUUGCCUCAUCACUGCCAAAACAUGAGACCGGCUAGAAUUGAGAGGGGUCAGUUCGGCGUCCGAGGUGGACGACCUCCCCUUCACGAUCCGGUCGAAAACACUCCGGCGGUCUCGGGGUUGGGUUGAAGUGCCACUGGGGCCGGGUUCACUUCGGCCUGUGUCUUUCCUCCUCCGGGGAUCUUGUCCCGUACGAGAUGCUUGGGCUUCUCGCUUCAUGCGGUUUACAUCCUCACUUCGGAUUCCCUGGUCUACUCUUUCCCAGAGUUUCCGAAGUGUACGGGGGUAUUUCCGAUGGAUCUCGGUGUUGAAGAUCCCAGCUACUAAUCCGUUGGUGAAGGCGGCAAUAGUUACCUGCUCAUUCUGAUCAGGUAUCUGCACAUUCUUCUCGUUGAACCUCUGGGCAUACGAGCGAAGUGACUCGCCCUGACCCUGUUGCAGGUUCAAGAGGUAUGCUGAAGUCUUGGUUAUCGGUCGGGACGACACGAAGCGGUGGAUGAACCGGUCUAUCAGUUCAUCCAGGGAGGAAAUACUCCCCGGCUCUAAAUUCCAGAACCACUUGUGGGCAGUCCCAUAUAGGAAGAUGGGGAAAGCCCGGCAUAUCACGGCGUCGGGGACGCAGUAUAGUCGGAAGGCGGAGAUGAAGGCGCUGAGGUGAUCCUCGGGGUCACCUCGGCCGUCAUAAGUGUGCAAGUUUGGGAGUUUGAAGUUCGGGGGAACCAUCUCCCCAUUGAUGUCAUCAGUAAAGGGCGGAGCCCUCAUGUAGUCAGAAGCUAAGCCUCCGGAGCGCCGAGGUGGGUCCUCGGCCCGUUUCCCUAGGAGUUCUCGAGAAAACGCCAGGGAGAUGGAGGCAAUUUUAGAGGUCGCCUUGGAGGAGGCACGCCUGGAGGUACUCCGAGAGAGACGCCCCUCAUCGGAGUCUUCACCUGACGGUACCUCAGGGGACUUCGUCGGCCUCCUCUUGGAAGACUCGGCCUUUUCUUUCCCCUGUCUUUUGAGAUACCUUCCUAGUUCCUCAAAAAUGGUAGGGUUGUGUGAUACGAACUCGGCCAUCUUGGCGAUGGCCUCCUCGUUGUUAGGCUGGGUCCUCGGGGACCCUUGCUCUUCGGAAAUGCGAUCUUGCUGGGCUCCCGAGGUCUGCCCAGCCCCAGUUGAGGGAACUCGACCACUUCUGGAGCGCGUGGAUCUCAUUUUAGUAAUAGUAGUCUCGUUCCCACAGACGGCGCCAAUUGAGGAGGUGAUUUUCGGUUGGUAACUAGACCGACCUGGAUCAAUCCUCUCUGAGAUGAAGUAAGGUGAACUCCUGUGUCCGAAGUGAAUCUCGGUGUCCGAAGUGAGUGGCGGGGCUUCUCCCCUGAGAUCACUCCGACGAUCAAGUUAGUAUGAGAACGAGAAUAAUAAGAGUAUAAGCAAAUGAACAGUGUGUUGUUUUUUUGUUGGGAGUGUAUCUGGGGUAUUUAUAGAGGGAGAGUAGAGGACAGAGCGGAGGGCUUAUGCUGGUGGGACCCACCCUCUGGUCAUUACGGCUCUGUCCCGUGUCAGGAGGUCUGACUCUGACACUGUAGCUGCCUGAGCAUGAUGACGGGGAGUAUUGUGCAGGUGCCAUUAAGUGCCUCCAGUGCUUUUCAGAUAAAGCACUGGUCCUGGGUGAUGUCAGGUGGUUUGACAUCAUCAGCGUGCAGCUGAGGUGGGGGUGCCGAGGUCGGCUACACAGUAGGCUAGGGAAACGGCCGAGGCCGAGUUCAGGGGUGAUGCCCGGGACACGGAUGAGCUCUGAUGAGGGACGAGGUGAGUUCACCUCGGCCACUCGGGAUGACCGAGGUGAGCAUCCUCACACUGUAUAGUUUUUAUAAGCAGUUCGUAAGUGUACUUAGCCAUUGCAUAACAAUCAGAUGAAUGAUUAUAUACUUAUUUAACUUGUGGUUAUUGCAACCAUUCCUGAGCAGUCUAAAGGACAUCUCAACAUUUCUUUUUUUGACUCUUCACUACAUGAGCAAAGUCAUAUUACUUUCAAUUAAUAUACCAUAUCUUACCUGCUUAAAGCCCAUACUUCUUCGCUAUGAAUUUGAUUUGCUUAUGUUUAUCUUCUCUAGGUUCUUCUUCAAAACUGCAAUGUCUCCAUCAUGCCUUGCAAUCCAAUACACUGCAAAAUUCAAGUUCAUUUGCCUAACUAUAUAACACUCUGUUUCUAUCUUCUAAGUGUCAUUACUUAGUAACUACUCUUAUCUAGCAAGCCAAUCUCCAAUCUGCAACAAUUGUUAUAAUUAUCUUUCAGAUGCAAUACAAAGUACACCAGGUUUGCCAUGAACACAUUCAUUGUUGGUACUGUUAGCCAAUGUUACUUUAGCAAUUGUUUUAAAAUAUUGCCUCAAAUACAUUCAUUUGUACUCUUAUAGGAAUUGCUGUAGUGCAUUCUCUGAAUGAUGAGAGACAGCAAAAUGUCAAUGACAGUAGUGAUAUUUCCGUUAAAGGUUUAUUAUACACCUAUUCUGAGUUCCUUUUAACAAAUCUCAUUGAUCUUACAGCUAAAUGUAGUUCUGUACGAAUAACUUUCUUUUAACUAAUAUGAUUUUUGUUACAACUAAAUGUACCGCCCGGUAACGCUCUACAAGAUCUCAAAAUAAAAAGGUUAUGAGGAAAAAAGGUUCUUAACAUAUGAUUAGGCUUUCAAUUUCACUGCUUUUACUUUAUGCAUGGCUUCUAAUUUAACUAAAUAUACCAUUACUUACCUUGACCUUUCAAUUUAUAAUUACAUUACAGCUCAAGUAACUAAGGGAACAGAGGCUCUCAAAUUUAUUACUGACGAAUCAGAUAAGCUACCUCAGGUUCAUGACUGCCAUUUUCAACAGGUAAGCUACCUCAAUUGUUAAGACAAUCGCAUGAGGAUUUGCCUCUAUAUCAUGGAAGUUGUAGUAAACAUUCCAACUUUUCAACUUUUGCUUAGUUCACUCUCAAACACUUAUUGUCUUAGCAACUUCAAACCAUUAUUUUCGGAACUUCCAUGUGGAAAAACUUUAUCAAUAUUAAAAUCCAGAAACACUUUAUGCAACAUUAAAAGACAAAUUUAAUAAUACUAUUAAAAAUUCAAAGAACUAAAAUGAAAUAAAGAGAUGUUUAAAAUUUUGUAAGCCUUUAAGCUAUUCAAUUUUGCUCCUCAAUUCUUUCAAGGGAUAGUUGCAGAAACCUCCCCUGAGGUUUCUGAUACUUGCACUGACCUCCCCUAUGGUUUAAAAAAUUGCACUGACCUCCCCUGAACUUACUAAUCCUUUGCAAAUUCAGUCCAAAUGAUUAAAUAUUGUUUUAGGGAGUGAAAUUAGAAUUUUGUACCAGAUUUGCCCUUUGUGCUACAUGUCCAAUGAAUGACAAAGUACUACAAAUCAAUUAACAAUUAAUAAACUUUAAGGGGUGUAGUUUAUGGACAAAUACGCAUUACCCAUUAAAAGUACCGACUCUUUAUGGAUAUUUUACUUUCAAACAUUUAAUUUAUGAUAAAUAUAUCAAUGUUUGUAAGUAAAAGUACUUUAUAUAAGCACAUGUAAGCACAAAGGGUAAAUCUGGUACAAAAUUCUAAUUUCACUCCCUAAAAUAAUAUUUUAAUCGUUUGGACUGAAUUCGCAAAGGAUUAGUAAGUUUAGGGGAGGUCAGUGCAAUUUUUCAAACUACAGGGAAGAUCAGUGCAAGUGUUAGAAAUCUCAGGGGAGGUUUCUGCAAUUAUCCCUUGUUUCAAAUAUUUUAUUUUACUAUUCAAUUGAUCCUCAAAUUUUUUUCUAAUACAUGCAACAAAACACAAUUCACAGGCACCAAGGCACAGGAAGACCAACCUAGUGUGUGCGUGUGUGUAUAUAUAUAUCUACCUACUAGAUAAGAGAACAACUUGAGUUGUCCAUUGAAUGCCAAGUGUCAAGCUCUUAUUGGAGGAAGAAACUUUGUUUUAUUCAUUUGGAUCUUAAAGAAUGGUAAAUGUCUAUUUGGGACUUGGUCUUACAAUUGAGAAUUCCAAUAGUAGCUUACUAUUUAAGGGUCAAUUGGUAAUAAUGGAUUAAAUAUAUUUAUUUUUUAACUUUGUUUAUGUUUUAAUAAGUGUUAAAAGUCAAUUGCGUCCUUUUGUGAAAGGUGGUUGUUUGAAUAGUUACUAACUAUUUAGGGCUAUUUUUGUAUGUUUGAAAAUAUUUCCUUCUUAUUUUUCUGUUUCGAUGCAAAUAGUUUGAUACUGUUUGUCGAUUGAUCUAAACAUAUGGGUCAGUUUUAGGCCUCUCACUAAAAGUCUCUUCUUCUCCGUUUCUUCCGCUCGAAUAGCUGAAUAUGAACCUGCAAAAGAUGCCACUGUUCUACCAAUUUUCUGAACAAAGCAUUGUACUUUCUCUUGGUUAGAACCACAAAAACCCUCCACAUGCACGUGAUUGCAUUUGCCCCAAGAAUCAGCUUCUUUUAGGGAUUGUACUUGGUUUGAAUUUACCAGCGAAUUCUUCCUUUUUUCCUGUUACGAAGUAAUGUUUUCUUUUAGAAAACAAUUUUUAGUGAUCUAUGGUACGGUUUCUAAAACCUACCAUGUAUACAAAAGGGAGAAGGAAAGGAGAAACCCUUUAGAUGUUGGUUCUUUCUUUCGUCAUAUUGAGUAAAGGAUGAAAAACUUAGGUACGAUUAUGAUCUUGCCAUUUUUACUGUUAACUGUGAUUUUUGCUUCAGAUAUCUUUCAUAUCUACUUGAUUCAGAAAAAAACAGCUUGGCUUCAAGCAACUGGGAAACUUGCCUUUGGAUACUCUAAAUAGAAUAGUGAAUGCAAACAUUGAUUGGAAUAUCUGUUGUCCUUCUUGCAAGCAACAAAGUGAAGUUGAUAUGAGGUAAAGUUACCAAUUCAUGCUCUUUAAUUACAAUUUAAUCCUCUUUCUGCAUUUAAAUUGAUGUUAAUUUCUAUUGUUGAAUUUGAGGGCUCGAAUUCUCAUCAUUUUAACUGAUGAUUCGGGAACAAUCAAUUGCACUAUAUCUAGAGAAGGUGCAGAAAAAAUGAUUCUAUUCACUUCAUUUCAGCAUAAACUGGCACAAGAAAGUGUAAGUGAUAACUUUCUAUUUUAUAUCCAUGCAUAACAAAAAAGAUAACAACAGCUGACUACAACUCAAAAAAUAAUUUUUGCUACAGCACUUUGAAGUAGACACUGAACUUAAUGGUUCCUUGAAGAAAUAUAUAAUUGUCUACUUUCUCAAGGCUUAUGAAACUCACUUUUAAGACCAGCGACAAAUUAAAACUAUUGUGUCCAAAGCUUACACUACAGAUGAUCUGUUACUGUAACAUUUCUAGCUCGCACCGAAGUUUCUUCUGCAGUGGGCACUUCCUCAGCAAGAUAUCAAAAAAAAAAAAAAACAACAACAACAAACAAAGGAAGAAAAAUUCACACCAACCACUAAGUUGGUGUUUGAAGAAAUUGCUGGAGGCAAUUUUUCCACGAAAAAUGAUGCAUAUUGGAGCAGAGGAUUAAAUAGGAGCCUUGAUUUUCCAAAAGGGCUACCUGAAAAUGAAGCUACACCAGUAGAAACACUAUCCAAAGAGCCAUCCAAUAUUUCUGAGCAGUGUACCAAAGAAGGUCCAGAAGAUAGCAAUCCGCCUGAGAAUAUUGAAGAUAAGUCCAUCAAAGAAGCUUAAGGGCAAGUAGGCCUAAACUGCUUUAAUUAUGUUACUUUUAUUAAAUCUUUUGUUAGCUAGCUAAAUGAUUAGGUCCAUUGCUUCGAUACUUUCUUUGAAACUGCUUCAGUCCUUGACAAAUAAGGGAUCAUGAGAUAGCUAUUAAUAGUUCAGUUUGUUAUCUUGCACCUGCAUAGAUCAUGAAACUUAAUUGCAAGUGCUUAUAUGUAUGAAGAUCCAGUCUUAAAGCACAUGUGCUGCUAUUAAUAGUUCAGUUUGUUAUCUUGCACCUGCAUAGAUCAUGAACCUUAAUUGCAAGUGCUUAUAUGUACGAAGAUCCAGUCUUAAAGCACAUGUGCUGUCAAAAGUGAAUGAUUUUGUUUAUAUAAUCUUUACCACUGUUCUAAAUAUUAUUUAUCUCUCUGUCUUUUAAACACAAUUAGCAUAUCAAAUCCACAGAUAUAUUAUCAACCCCCUCAAAAUUAUCUGGAUUUUGCAUAGGACAAAAAUGAAGGAUUAAAUAAACAGCGAAAAUUAUCAGUGGAUAGGCCAGUGCGUAGCACGGCCAGAUCCAAGCUAGUAUAUAUAUAUAUGUUGCUAGCCUUUUGGAUGCUCCAAGUCCAUGAUCUUGCUUGCACAGCCUUCUCUUUAGAUUUGCUGAAGCGUCGUACCGGUCGCAGAUUUUGUUGACUUGCUUUUUGUUUCUCUGUCAGAUUUAAAGCUCGUUUGACGAGCAAGCCGAGAAAUUUGCAGCUGCUAUCAUGCCAUCUGAACGAAAAAUGAGGAUCCGGGGCACAAACGGUCAUCAGAUGAACUGUUCAGGAGCAGUCCUCUCACAUGCUCCAGCCAGAGCCGCGUCCAAUUCUUCCAGGUGGUUUCCAAUCGUUCCUAGGCUUUGAUUUUGGUUUGCCAUUGCCCCCUUUGAUGGUCAAAAGUCAGAUACGGAUGUUGGUUUAAAGCAGAUUUUUUGUCCUACCAAGAAAUACAAAGUUGGAACUGGUCUUCUUGGUGAGCUCGCCAAAUCAUUCAUAUUUCGAGUAACAAUAAUAUAUAAAAGUUUCCUUGGAUUGAAGCCUUUUUUGGAUGGUAAUAGCCCUUUUGGUUUUGCUUGUAGUUUUCAGUGUGUCAAAUAUUGUUGAUUUUUCUGCUUGUGUGCUGCUUCUUGUCACUCGAAUUAUGUGCAUCUCUUGUACUACAUAUAAGUGAAGGCAAAUGACAAGUCCCCAAUACAGUCCAGAUUUAGAGAGUGUAAUUGCACAAUUUCAAGCUCUAUUUGGGCUUCCCCCAGAAACUAGUAAUCCUUAAAAGCAGCAGUACAAAUUAGACGACUUCAUAUUAUAUUAACCAUAUCAACUAAUAUGUAUUAAAUUGCCCAACUGAAAAUUACAUUAAUUCUGCAUAUGCCAUAAUACAGUAGCUUCUAUUGUGCCAGUACUAACAACUCCAUUCAAGUUCUUGGGAAUCCAAGAAACCACAAUUAAAAGAAAAAAGGCAACAAAGCAACAAAAUGCUUAUUAAUAUGAUUUAUGAUCAAUCUAAUCGCCAUAAGCAGCGAUACCGUCCAUUAUCACUGCAACAGUCUCUUUAGACUCCCUCAGCAGCUUGAUGCUUCUGUUCAAUCUGCAACGUUUAUCAGCAACAGAUGGAGAUUCCUCCAACAUCCGCUCCACUCCACCCCCGUAAGGUCCCAUCAAGUCGUUCACCAUUUCAGCUUCCAUGUCUUUGUUCACCAGAUUUUGGAUGCUGAAGAGUAAAUGCAGAGCCAUGCAAUCAACCAACCUCCUCAGAACAAUCUUCCAAUAAGCAGUCAUCCUCAUUUUCAGAUCAAAAGCUUGUCGUGCAACCAGCACAUGAUUUCUUAGAUGCCCGAUUUCAACCGCACCAAAGCCAUCGAUCUCCAUGUUUGUUGGCUUCCAAUCAUCAUUAAUGAGUUCCAUGAAUGUGUCCUGUCUUGCCAUCAGUUUAUGCCAGGUUGCGGAGUAUUCAGGAUCACAGGUAUAAUCGGUGAGUUUCUCCAUGUCUAUAAUCUGCAGUACCCAAUCGACUGACUGCUCCCUUUUCUUGCAAACAAGAUUUUGGGUAGCUCUCCUGAUUGAAGAUUGGAUUGAUGGGUAGUUGUCAGAGUGCUUCGUCAAGACAGGGGCCAGCACCCCUUGUAAAUACUCCCAGAACUUAUCCACAAAUUCAGCCGGUGCAGCAGAAAUGGCCUUGACCCUUUUUUGCAGUAAAGCCAGAAAAGCAGCGCGAGGAAGGAAAUUAGGUAAGCUUAUACCAUUAGCUUCCUCCAGGAUGCUAAUCUCUUCCUCCAAGAAGUUCUGCUUCUGUUCGCUUUUGAUAGAGAUGGACUGCAAUUCGUCAGAGUACUUGCUCAGCAUCGUUGCCAAUCUUGCAGUACAAUGCAUUUCCUUUUCAUCUGGAUACUCGUCGAAUUCCCCUCUGAUAAGUAUUUUCCUCAGCGACUCUUUGGCUGAAGAUAUGAUACGCAUAAAAGCGGUCACCGCUUCAGGAACUGAGUUCAGCUUUUGUGGCAACUUGUUCAGCUCUGCUACACUUGCAGCUAGCUUGUCAUUGAUCUUCCUCACGAUAUCUGGCAAGCAUUUUGAAAUUAUAGUUGCCUGAAUUUGCACCAAUUUCUGGGCUAAAACAGGGAUGCCAACUAUUGACUUGUUAAUCUUGGACAGCAGCGGAUGUGUUUGGAAAAGCAUAGCUUCUUCAGCUCGAGCUUCCUCGUAUGACUCGUCGCCAAUACGAUUUCUCACGCAGACGUAUCCAAGGCCAAUGUUCACAUCAUCGGCUGUUACCUUCUCCAUCAAGCCUUCAGGGGCCUUGUCUGCCUUGGUGACAACUGCUAGAGUUCUUUCACCGGUUUUGUCCACCUUUUGGGACAUCCGAAUGGAUUCGCAAGUCGAAAAAUCAACACUAGCAGAUAAAACGUUAAGUAUUAUGCUUUCUUCUGGUUUGAUAUACUCCAUAAUGAUUGCUGAAAUUUGCUCGUAGAUGUCUUCAGGCUGCCCGUGAACUGGAACUCUAGUAAUCCCAGGCAAAUCCACCAUAGUAAGAUCAGGGACACCAUCCUUUUUAACAGUCAAAGUCAGGGGAACAUUUGAUAUCCCCUUACUUCUGCCGGCGAUCUCGUCAGUUGCAUCGCUGAUGGCCUCAGCAAUAUGUUCCUCAUCGGUUGAAACAACUCUACCAUUGAACUCUAAGCUCAGCUCCGGCUGGGGACUGGGAUGACUUUGCAGCCUCAUAACCAAGGGAACCCUCGUGCAAAUCCCUUGUCCUCUGGGCAGGCUAAUGCCUGCUAGCGACUCUAGAACACUAGACUUUCCUGAAGAUUGAUCUCCAACAACAACAAUUGUUGGAAGCUGGAUUCCUUCUUGCAUGACUUUGAGGCUUCGCAGCCUGUCUACGCAGUCAAGCAAGGGCCUAAUGCGUUCAUUGUAGGAUGAUACAAUGGGGGCCUGGAUUGCUAGUGGUUCUUGUUGAUCAUGAGCAACUUCAACGAGGGAUUUGGUGAUUUCUUCAGAAGCAAAAUCGGAGCCAUUGAUUAGUGCACCCAUGUUUCUUGUGGUUGUUGGUUUUCAGAAUUUCGACUGUAAUGUUGCAGGUGAAAAAGGUCGGAAAGUUUAGAGGGAAGGAAAGAGAUGAAAGGAGCUAGUGAAUUUCAGGUCAGGUGAUAGCAAAUGUGGACUUGUGGCUGAAUUUAUAGGGAUCCAAUAAUUAGUUUACUGGUGUUUCCUUGUGGUGGAAACACAGCAUUGGAGUCAAUUGACUUCUUUGGAAAUGACUUAAGAAUUAAUAGCUAGUUUGACAAAUGAGAAGAAAAGAAAGGUUUUGAAGGAAUAAAAAAGUUUUUCUAUUGUUUGCGAGUUAAAAUGAGAAAGUUGUUUGGGAGUUAAAAUGAGAAGGAAAAGAAAAGAUUAGGAAAGAUUUCACUGUUCUCCAUCUUUUGGAAAACUUUCCGUCCAACGGAAAACUUUUCGCCCAAUAUUGGGUGGAAAGGAAAGGAAUGGACAGAAGUUUAAGUAAAUUUUUCAAUAUGACCAAAUUACCUUUAAAAUUCUGAUAUAAAACAUUUUAAUACUGGAUGAAUCCCUCUCACAUUUGUUUAUAGAAAGGGCAUAUUUAUAAAAUAAUUUGUUUAAGUAUCUUUUCCUUUCCUUUGUAUUCAACUCUCAAACAAAAGAAAACUACUUACUUUUUUUUUUCUUUUUUAAAACUCCCAAACAACUUAUAGAAACUUUAAUCCUUUCUUUUCUUUUCUAACUUAUCAUUUCUCUUCUUUUUUUUUUUAUUCUAAACUCCCAAACAAGCUAUAAGAGAACCGGCGAAGGAACGAGUUGGAUCGUACAAAGGUGGGUAAACAUGGCUGGCAUGGAAAAAUGAAAUAUGACUUCGGAAGCUUGCCCUGCACGUUCGUCCCACGAUCUAGGGGAUGCAGAUCCUCUACGGUUGCAUCUACAACCGCAGAAGACGGUUGUGAGCCGAGAUCAAUCCAUUUGAACUUUGGUUGAUUGUGACCAAUAAUUUAAAAUUCAAAUAAAUUUUAGAUCAAUGAUCGAGAUCAACCCACGUUCGGAUAGGUUGAUCUCGAUCAGCCGAUCUGCUAACCGUCCUCUGCGGUUGCAUCGAUAAUUGCAGAGGAUUCGGAACCCAAUUCGAUAAUGUAUAAAACCUUUUAAGAGGAAAUUAAUGGAGAGAGAAAAAAUGAAGGGAAAAUCUUUCAAAUGCGACAAAGAUUGAUGUGAAGAAUCCAAGGAUGUAAGUAUUAAGGAAAAAAACCAUAAUGCAUAAAAUUGAAUUGUUUUCUAUAAGAUUGUUAUUUCUUGUAUUUUAUGAUGAAUCAACAAGAUUUAUGACUAGUUUUUAUAUAUUUUUUUAUUUAGGUCCUGUUUGAGGUUGCGAUACUUUUAGUUUAAAAAAAAUACUUUUAAGUGCUAAAAGUACUUUUAAAAUAUUUGGUGAGUAUCCUUAUAUUAUAUAUGAAUGAGUUAUGGUCAAAGGGAGGUUUGAAUUUCAACCCCAUAGAUAGGAGAUUUUUUAGAAUAUGAAAUAUUGUGUAGUUUUUUUUAAAAUUUUUGGUACAACUAAUGGUAGCACGUGUUUAGGUAUAUUUACUGAAAUGUCCUCAUUUUAAUACAUUUAAAACUUUGAUUUAUAGAGAUAUCUAGGUAUUUUUGGAAUAUGGAAUUAUUUUGCAACUGUUUUUGCAUCAAGUACAACUCAUAUAAACUUAUUUGUUAGUGCAAUUACUGAAUAGUGUUAUAGACACAUUUAAUUGAAGUGUGACUUUUAUUGUGUAAUUAACACAAAGACAUAUUAAUACAUUGUGUAACUAACACGUUGCUAUAACUAGCCAUUGAAAGAUAUUCCUUUGUCUGAAACAACUUAUGUCUCCUCUUGGACGAUUUUCAACUAACAUCUGUAGGGGCAUUUUGGGAAUGAUAAAAUUGCAAAAACAUUAAUAAAUUGAUAAAGUAAAGUGUACAAGUAUGUGCUGCAAUUAAAAUGUACUAUUAUUAGUUUUGUCAUAUUUGAUGAUUAUUUCUUUUCAAAAUAUACUAUUAUUUGUCUAAUAAAAUAUCCUCUUUAAUUACGGGUACCAAACACCCGCACGAUGCGCGGGCACUCCUCCCCUAGUCAUCCCAUAAAAAUAAGAGUAGAACUUUUUAUGUUAAAAGUACUUUUAACAAAAGAUCAAAUUUGGUACUUUCAAAGUAUCUUUUGUGAUUUAAAAAAUAAAACAUCAAAUUUAAUCAUUUUACCCUAUAUUAUGAACUAAAUAAAGAGAUAAACAUUUUUAAAAAAUUUUAAAUUACAUAUUAUCCAAUACAAUAAGUAUUUAUUUCAAACAAUAUAUUUAAAAGCACUAAGUUAAUAAAUAUUUUUAUUAAAAGUUCUGUUAGGAAAGUAAUUUUCAAUAAGUUACCGCAAUCCCAAAUGGCCUUAAGUGUGUUCACCUAAUUUGGUAUUAGGGGCUUCUUAUGGUAUACGUAUAGACAUCUUUAAAGUGCCACAUGUGGAUAUGAAUUAAUUUAUAUACAUGUCAUUUUGUUAGUAGUUUCUUUGUAUAUCUCAGAAUCAUACUUUUAUGUGUCUGUAACCCUUGUUUUUUGGGAUAUAUAUCCAUAAAUUAAUGCAGCAACACUUUAUGGCCCUCAAAAAAAAUUUUUACAGAAUCUGUAAUUUACCCUUUUUGAACUACAAAAUUCCCUUUUGGCAUUAUCCAUACAUUUCUUUCAUGCUAAAAAUAUGUUUGGGAAGUUGAUGCUACAUAAAGCAUACGUUAGGAGAAGAAUGAAGGGGCUCUUAAAAGAUGUUCUUAAUUCUUUACAUUCUUCUUUCUUCAUGAAUCUUUUAAACUUUCACUUAAGAUAAGUUAAAUAAGUUAAAAAGGCUGGAAAUUUCUUGUUGAAUCGAUCCAGCUCUAAGUUCCAAGUCUUCCCUUAUUGUCAUCUUCUUAUUCUUUUUCACAUAUUGUCUUGUCACUUAUAAAGUCGUCUUCCCAAGUCUACCCUUUAUAGUCAGUCGUCUUCUUUUUCUUUUCCACAUUGUUUGCUUUUCAGCUCUUGUUAGUCAUGCUUAAUUGCUUGUGAGAAUUGUUACCUUAAGACUAGAGAGGAAGUGUCAAAAAAUAAGGAAAGUAAUAGGCAGCUUCAUAUCAUGUGAUUACGUUUUAUGACAUAAUACACCAAAAAGAUUUCUUGUAUUUUAUGAUGAAUCAACAAGAGUUUUGUUUGGAUAGAGUAUUAUUUGAAAUAUUAUUUGGAAUAAUUACUGUAACAUUUUUUGUGAUGUGAUGUAUGUGAGAUAAAAAAAUGAUUGGGAAUAUAAAAAGGUGGGUUGAGAAAUGUGUUUGUGAUGCAAGCGAAAUAUUAUUUGGAAUAAUAUUAUUUACGACUAGUUUUUACUUUUAUUUUUUUUAAUUUAAGUCUGUUCACCUAAUUUGGUAUAGGAGCUUCCUAUGGUAUACAUAUAGACAUCUUUAAUAAUGUCACAACAUAAAGUGAAACAUGUGGAUAUGAAUUUAUAUAUAUAUAUAUAUAUAUAUAUAUAUAUAUAUAUAUAUAUAUAUAUAUAUAUAUAUAUAUAUACACAUACUAGUAAAUACUACACAUGCUUUGCAUGUGAAUAUAGUAAUCAAAAUAUACUAGUAUUUUGUAGCUACUAAAAUUUGUUGUGAAGUUUUGAUUAUCUACUUCAUAAUAAACUUAUGUAUAUUUUUCAAUUUCUUUAACUAAUUUUGGCUACAAACAUUUAUUUAAAUUUGAACUCUUUGACCUCAAGCUAUUAGAACUUGUUUUUGAGCUUUUAUUGAUUAAAUUUGGAUUGAACUUUGAUAACAAUUGUUGACACUAUCAUGUUUAUCAAGGUUGUUGUGAUUACCCUUAAAUUAUAAAAUUGCACAUUUUUAUAUAGUUCAAAAUAAUAUUAUUAAGAAGGAAAUAUAUAUAUAUAUAUAUAUAUAUAUAUAUAUAUAUAUAUGCACAUAUCAAGCAUGGGAGAAGCAAAUCUAAUUUGAGUGCUAUUAAAAUUUUAAAAGGGGCAUUAGAAUACAACAUGAAUUGACUUGUUAGAUUUUUAACAUUCCGAUUAUUGUACUAUGCAUCUUCUUUCCUUCAUCCGAUGCCUUUGCAAGCUCAGUAAUCUGUCUAGAUAUGUCUUUUUUAUUUUAUUUUAUUGAAAGUAAAAUCUAUGAUGGACUUUCUAGUAAAAUUAUCAGAUUUUAACAACCAAGAAACUAAAAUUUGGUUAAAUUAUUAAACACUUCCUGAAUAGUAUUUGCAAUAUCAAUACUUAUGAUUACUGAUUAUUUAAUUGUAGAAUUACAAUUAGUUAAUUAUAUAAGAAUAUAAUACAUGAAUGGUAUUUCUUAUUUCUUUAGACUUAGGUUUUCUAUAAUUAUCAUUUCGUAUAAAACCUAAGGCCCCGUUUGGAUUGCUAUUUUCUGCCAAAAAAUUGCGUCGUUUUCCGUGAUCACAUUUUCCUAUUACCUUUUUCCCUCACAUACAUCAAAUCACUACAGUAAUUUUUCCAUGAAAAAUGACGGAAAAUGCAAUCCAAACGAGACCUAAUUCUUUAUAGAGUAGACGAUUAUUAUUUAUCAUAUUAUAUGAGUUGAAUUAGUUAGCUUUUUGAUGAAGUUCUUUAGUAGUGUGAAGUGAGUUGUUUCAUUUUUUUUUUAAUUUUUUUGCUCCAUUUUUUGAUUUGUUUACGUAUAUACAAUUUGUAUGUGAACUCUUUGUGAUUAUUUAAUUCACAAGGGUAUUUUUAAUCUAUCAUAUUUAAUUAUUUCUAUGUGAAUAUUCAUUGUCAUUGAUUGAGAUUUCAUUGACUGAGGUGGUUGAGUAUUCUCUUUUUUAUUUAUCUUCUAUUGUUUUUAUAAUUUCGUUUGAAAACAAUGCAACAUAAAGCACAAACAACAACCAUUCCUUUUCCGUGCUAAUAUGUACACUUAAAUUAAUCCAUAGAUUUUUUUUCCCUUUUUGUUUUAGAAGAAAUAACUCUAAUUGUGAUAUCAAAAUUAGUUAGUUCAUUAUAGAUGAAAUAUAAGAAAAUUUUUCAUUGUUUGCUUGGAUUUGGGUGACAUGAAUUGUCAUUUCAAUUAAAACUAAGUUGCUUGCAUGUUUGUUAGUUUUUUUUUUUUUUUUUUAACUUGAUGUGAAUAGAAACUCCAUCGAAACUGAUCAAUGAAGACCGUCAUAUAUUCUGACAAAUUUUGUUAUGAGAGGCAAGAUUCUGACCCUUAAUCUCCCGCACCACCAAGCCCAAGAAGGCUUGGGAUGACCACUGGACCAAAGUCCCAGUGGCAUUUGCAUGUUUGUUAGUUGCAUGAACAUGGAAGUUGCUUUCUUUUUUGUCUUGUUAGUUGUUCAGCUUUUCAGUUGAAACUACAGUGUACUAUGUUUCCUUGUGGUGGAAACACGGCAUUGGAGUCAAUUGACUUCUCUGGAAAUGCUUAAGAAUUAAGCGAACCCAAAGGCAAAGGAACGAGUUCGAUCGUACAAAGGUAGGUAAACAUCGCAGGCAUGGAAAAUCGAUCAUAUAUAUGAAACCUGACUUCAGAAGCUUGCAGUGCAGUUUCAUCCCACAAUCCAAAGGAUCCGGAUCCUCUGCAACCGCAGAAGACGGUUGAGACUCGCAAUCGAUCCAUUCGAACUUUGGUUGGUCGCAACAAUUAAUUGAAAAUUUUAAUAAAUUUCAGGUCAAUGAUCGAGAUCAACCCAAGUUCGGAUAGGCUGAUCUCGAUCAUCCGAUCUCUCAAACCGUCCUCUGCGGUUGCAUGGACAAUUGCAGAGGAUUCGGAACCCAAUUCAACGUAACUAUAACUUUUUUUUUUAAGAGGAAAUUAAUGGUGAGAGAAAAAAAUGCAACUAAGAUUAAUGUGAAGAAGAAUCCAAGGAGGUAAAUAUUAAGAAAACAAAAACCAUAAUGCGUAAAAUUGUUUAUUGUGUGUGAGUGUGUGUCUGUCAUCUUGUUAGCAGUUUCUUUGUAUAUCUCAGAAUAUUUCCGUUUGGAUUGCGAUUUUCCUCAGAAAAAUUAUUACGUUUUUCGUGAACAUAUUUUUCUAUUACCUUUUUAUCUCACAUAUAUCAAAUCGUUACAGCAAUUUUGCUACAAAAAAUUCAGAAAAAUGCAAUCCAAACGGGGCUUGUUUUUGGGCUAUAUAUCCAUAAAUUAAUGCAGCAACACUUUAUGCCCCUCAAAAAAAUUUUGCUGAAUCUGUAAUUUACCGAUUUUGAACUACAAAAUUCCCUCCUGGCACUAUCCAUACAUUUCUUUCGUGCUAAAAAUAUGUUUGGGAAGUUCAUGCUACACAAAUCAUACGUUAAGAGAAGAAUGAAGGGGUUCUUAAAAGUUGUUCUAAAUUUUUUGCAUUCUUCUUUCUCCACGAAUCUUUUAAACUUUCGCUUAAGAUAAGUUAAAUAAGUUCAAAAGACUGGAAAUUGUUUGUAAAUUCUAAGUCUUCCGUUAUUGUCAUCUUCUUAUUCUUUUUCACAUUGUCUUGUCACUUAUAGAGUGGCCUGCCCAAGUCUUCCCUUUAUAGUCAGUCGUCUUCUUUUUCCUUUUCACAUUGCUUGCUUUUCAGCUCUAGUUAGUCAUGCUUAAUUGCUUAUCAGAAUUGUCACCUUAAGACUAGAGAGGACGUGCCAAAAAAUAAGGAAAGUAAUAGGCAGCAGCAUAUCAUGUGAUUACGUUUUAUGACUUAAUACACCAAAAUAAAAAAAGUUUCCCUGCUACUUAAUACACCUAAAUGCUGCUACUUUUUUCUCUGUGGUAAUGGAAAUCUUGUUCUUCUUCUCUUUUUUUUUUCCUUUAAUUUUUCCUGUUAAAAAGGAAGACGUGAGACUUGAAAAGCGAGAAGAAAAUGAGGCUUCUUAAAAAGGAAGACGUGAGACUUGAAAAGCGAGAAGAAAAUGAGACUUAAGAAGCGAGGAGGUAAAAGAAGGAUGUGAACCCGAGCUUCUAAAUGCUUGGGCCUCACGCCAAUCUCUUCUUCAAUUUUCUUCUUUUAUAGACAAAUUCUCACUCCCAUGGAGUCAAGCCCCUGCUACAGCAAUAUUGCCAUUCAUAAACUAAGGCCCUGUUUGACACUUGAAUUUUUUGUCAAGUUUGUCUACUACAAGUUUUUUAAAAACUUUAGCUACAAAAUUUGUAAAAAUUUUAGCUACAGUAACUUUAAAAAACUUUUCAAAUUUUUUAAACUAUACACUUAAAAACAUUCAAAAAUUUAUACACUUCAAAAUUUUUAAAAAAAAUUUCUACAGUAAGCUACAGUAAAAUUUUAGAAAAACACCCAAAAAAUUCACCUGCCAAACAAGACCUAAAUGAGAAUGAUCUGGUUUUAAGAGCCAACAAGCCUCCUGAUUGACAAAGAAAAUACCAGAAAACCAAUGGUACUCCUAGCCAAUACUGACACUACAAUUUUACAAAAAAAUUAUUACUGGAGAAAUCACGGCAAGUGUUUGGUAUCGUUCGAUUUUCAGAGUGAGACCCUCUCCACAGCCUCUUCUAUCAGUGAAACUAUUUGUGGCUGGGGCAGUUGGCUCAUAAAUCUACAAAGAAGUUUAACUUCCACCAAUAUCCUAUACAUUAUAGGUGUAUCGUUUAGUAGUAAAUCAUUUGGCACCAAACCAAAAGUUUCCCCACAUAUUGGUCCAAAGCAGCUCCAAAAUCUGAGGCGAAAACUGGAUGGCAAUCAAGCCAGAAGCAAAUGCUGCCUGAAGCAAAAGGGGCAGCACCAAAAGCUACAGUUAGCAAGUUGGUUAUAUUUUACCUCAGAUGUGAUUCUGACCUGCUUUCCACAAUUUGUUGUGAGAUCCUUAACAUAACUUCAAUACCAUAAUUGCAUCACAUCAGAGUUAAGAUCCACAACAAUUUCCAGAGCUUGAAAUAUUUUAAUAGGCGGGCAAAAACAGGCAACAUCAAGUUACUUAGAAAGCCAAAUAUUGCAUCACACAGAAUCACCCAACUUCAAUACCAUCAUUGUAUCACACAGAAUCACGUCAGAGUUAAGAUCUACAGCAAUUUCCAGAGCUUGAAAUAUUUUAAGAGGUGGGCAAAAACAGGUACAUCAAGUUACUAGGAAAACCCAAUAAUACUUUAAAAUCUAAUUUAACAUAAGUAGGAAAGCUUGGAAAGAAGAGAUGGCAUCUGCUGAUGAAACCAUUGCUAUCCAACCAAACGCACAAAUUAUACGUCUGAUCACUAAGCCAAUGCAGAUCACCAUUUCACAACACCCCAUUCCCAAAAUAAGGAGGAAAACAAACAUCUCCCAUUGGUUAUGUGUCCGUAUUGUCCCUCAAAAUCCAAGAUUCAGAUGAUAGCAAUCAAUUACAAAACUCAGGUAGCCUAAAACAAAUGGGGCAGUGGCACAGCAGGCCAAAAAGCUAGCAAUGCACAAAACAGAAUCUUUACAUAUCUAAGCAAUCUAUAGCUAAAUCACGCAUUCAAGAAAAUCACAACCAUUUAGCAAACAGCAAGGUAAGUGUCCUGAAAGCAAACUCUUUUAGAACUCACAACCAGCUAGUCCUAUUAUUUGCAUAAACUAUUCAAGAACAGUUGGAAUAAAUGGUGAUAUGAGGAUAUGAAAGUAUCAAGAUAUAAUCUUAAGAUUGAUUUCUAAAGCAUUCUGAAACCAUAACUUCAUUACCAUAUGUACAAACAGAAUUAUCAUAAUUAAGAUCCACAAAAGUUUCUGUAACUUUGGGAUAUCUAAUUGGUAGGCAAAAGCAAAGUACAUUGGAGAAGAUAGUAACAUUUUACGACCAAAUUAAACAUAAGCGAGGGUCUCCAUAUGUCUAUAGAUGUCCUUCCAUUGAUUAAGGUGACUCUUCCAACCAUACCCAAAGUCCACUGGCCCUACUUCAGCAACCUCUGUAACAACAGCAUCAUUAAUUUUGUAAAGCAUCACCUUAUCUGGAAAAGCUGUCACAAGGCUGGCUUUCUUCUCUUUCUCAUCCUCGAGGAGAAAAAGCAUACCAAAUGGUCCAAAUGUACAUUGCCUCCUAUCAGCACGAUCAACGAACUCAACUACCAUUGAUGGAUAUAGAAUUCUUAGAGGAGCAAGAUCGAUAUGGUAUUUCAGAACCCAUUUAGAAUAGUCCCUUUCCAUCUCAAAAACAUCAAACAACAACCCAAAUGGGUUGUUGACCUCAAUAACAUAUAAACACCCAUUACACUCCCCAAAGUACCAAAAUUCCCACUCACUGAACUCGACAGGAAGUGGCGGCAUGUCUCGGUGAAGGCAUUCUUUAUCCAAGUCAAAACAUAUCAUAUACUUAAAAUCGUUGAGCCAAUGGAGAUCACCAUUCCACAAAACCCCAUUCCCGAAAUAAGUAGUAGGUAAAUCAGGAGGAUCCAUCUCCAACGUGUCCAUACUUUCCCUCCAAAUCCCAGUUUCAGAUGCAUAGACAGCAAAUCCACAUCUAUCCCAAGUGUCGCCAUGGUAUUCAUCCCGCCAUAUAUACACAACUUUGAAAUGAUCAGAUUUUGAAGGAUCAAACACAAUAUUCAAAGCCUCAAAACGACGGGUUAUUUGAAAAUGAUAGAAAUGAGGAUCAUCGAAGUAAGGAUCAUAAUAAGGAUCAUUGAAAUGAGGAUCAUUGAGCUGAGGAUCAUUGGGCUUAGAACCAUUGAACGUAGGAAUAAGUCUAUGCUGACAAGUAGUAGGAUUAUAGACCACAAAUUCUCUAUGAUCGUCACAAUCAUCUAACUUGAACACCAGAGCUAAUAACCCAUUGCAUGAAUGAAAAUCCACAAUUGCACCAUUAUCAAAGAAAUUGUUCAAGUGGGAAACCAUUUUAGCCAUUGGAUUUACAUACCCAUCCGAGAGGGAGAUGAAAUUGAGCUCUUGUGGGGUCUUCUUGUAUGUCCACGGGAACACAAAGAGUGCUUCGGUGGCAGCGGAGGCAGAAGAGGAAGUCCCGACGGUGGUGGGAUAAAACCGCGAGUGCAGACGGCGGAAGGCAGGGUCCGAGAUGAUGGAAAGCCAUUUCUUGGAGACGCAUUGGAAGCGAAGGAGGGAUUUUGGGGGCAAAUAAAGCAAAAUUUGUUGCAAGAUAUCUAUAUUGUUGGCUAUAAAGAUCGCUGCUGCCUGAGAGUGCUGGGUUUCUGGUAUUGAUGGUGAGAGUUUGCUCGCUGGUUCGAGGGGAAGCGGAACCGGCGGUUGAGAAGAUAGAGAGAUUCGUCUGGCUCUGCUUAGGUGCCUAAUGAAGCGCCCUCUUGAUCUUGCUUUCUGGGAUGAUUCGGCUGAAGAUUUUGCUUUUUCUUCUUGCGACGAUUCGGCUGAAGAAUCUGCAUUUCCUGCCUCGCCGGAGAGCAUUUUUGGAGCGGUGGCCGGUGGUGGAGUGUGAUCACUAAAGCCGCUUUCCAAAUUAUCUGAUCGCUCAAAAAUGAAGAGCUGCACUUUUGGAAGGACGUAUUUAAAAGACCUUCAACUAUCUACCCAUCCCACUUUAACCCCUUAUUCUUUCCUUUCAAUUGCAAUAUCUAACCCCUCAUAAUUUGAUAGUACCAAAAUGCUCUGAUUCAUUAAUUGAUUGAAAUUAGCCUUUGCAAUCACGGUUGUUCUUGGAGCCAAAUUCACAAAGUGUACCAUCUUGUUUCUCUUUCUUCAAAGAACAUCUAUGGAAAAAAAUAUAAACGUUAUAUUUCAUGAUUUGUUGCGUUCACGGCUGUUGUUUUUUGUAAUUUAAAUAAGUAUUUUAUUAUGUAUUUAUUAGGAUUAAUUUUUUCUAUAUUGACAGUGUAUACAUUGUUAGCGUUGGAUGAUAAUAACUAUAUAAAUUUUAAAUUUGAAAUUUAAUUUUUACAUAUAUGUCAUAUAUCUAAUGAUGAUAGUGUAUGUAUUGUCAGUGUAUAUAAUAAGAUUUAGUCUAUUUAUUAUUUAUAUUUUUUGUUGAAAAAAGAUCUGACGCUAAUAUUAAUUCAAGAGAGCUCAAUGUUAAGGGUAAUUUUGAUAGUAUAAAAUAGUUUCAGUGAAUUAACUACCGUACAACUCGUGAGAUGAAAUCAUUUCAACCAAAUUGAAAAUUAGAUGGAGUUAAGUGUUGUAAUUUGGAAAAUUGGGGAGCAAAUUGGAAGAGGGCCCAUAGGAAUAUAGUUGAUUAGAUGUUUACUGAAUGUUGGUUACGACAAAAAGAAGGGGGCCGAUCUUCUGGUAUUCGUAUGUGAUUAUUUUUCAAAAUAACCAGUUUGUUUGGAAUUAUUUUUUCAAAUAUAUUUACUUACAUCGUCAUUAUAAUUUUUAAUACACCUUUUUAUCUUCUCAAUUAUCUUUUUAUCUCACAUAUAUCACAUUACAAAAAGUACUAUAGUAAAAAUAUUUCAAAUAACUUACCAUCCAAACAAACUUUAUACUAUAUAAAGGUGAAAUUCUAAAAUGGUCCCAUAUAUACUAUAAAAUCCUUUUUCCCUCCCAUAUAAAUAAACUUGGUUCCUUUUUUUGGUUUAAUCUCAUAUUCAAUUAUUUCUCCUGAACAAAUUCUGACAGCACAUCGAAUCAAAAUCUUGGAGCUGCAAGUAAAAGAAGUCGUGAAAUAAACAUAUGGCUAGCCUUGAUCUUGAAUGAUGCCCACAAACUUGUUAUCUUAUCGAGAAAAGACUAGCUGGUAAGGUUAUGAGCUGGUACAAAUAUGGACAAGGGACAAAUAUGGACAAAUAUGAGCUAGUAAGAUGGGGUUGCCAAUUGAUUCUCUCCAUUUAACUUCCUCUGUUUGAACCACUGGGCCAAUGGCUCAUUGGUCCACGGGAAGGGACUUUCUCCUUGGACGGUAGGUGAAGGUUCAAAUCUCACAUGCAGCGAAAAAAAUCUAAGAGUUGUGCCAGAGCACUCUUUUAGUCUAGUUUAGUUGGGUCUGUAUACCAACUAACCCCCUACCACAGCUUCUUUAGGCUCCCCAUCCCCCUAGAUUAGGAUAGAGUAGGUUAUACAAAUGUAUCAUUGUUGACAAAAAAAAAAAAAAAACUUCAUCUAUUUAUUAAUUCUGCGUUUAUCUAUACCUAGCUAAAUGUUUAAGGUGAAGGAUUCUCCUUGUUUUGGACAGCAAGAAAAAUUGCUAUAUUUUUGUUGAACACAUUUUUCAAUCAUCUUUUUAUCUUACAAAAAAUCUAGAAAAAUGCAAUCCAAACAAGGCGUACACUAUUAAAGUAUACCAUCAGCUUAUUUAUUUGUUUUGACCUUUUGUUUUUGGCAUGGCACUUGUAUAAAUGGCUAACAUUAAAAUCCCAACGCAGCAAAAAGUAAAUAGAUUAAUCGCAAAGCAGAAAGCUCUUGAGCGUGGAUACUUUGUUUGAAAGAUUAAAGAGCUUUAAUCAUUAUAAAGUUUGAUUAAAUAUGGUGCAAAAACCAUUCAUACAUCUAUCCAUUUCUCCUACAUCAUCCUCUUUGCUGUAUAUAAACGGAUAGAAAGUAAUUAAACUCGUUUCGCUACUUCCCUUAACCCCCCCAAAAAAAAAAACCUCGUUUUGCUUGAGGAUGCAAUUUCAUGUGUACGACAUAUCUUGCCCGUUGUUAUACACCUACUGUGUAGCUGUUAACAACACAAAAAAAAAAAAAAAAAAAAGAAGGGAUAAUUUCAGAAACCUCCCUUGAAGUUUCAAACAAUUUCACUCGGCUUCCUUUAGGUUUAAUAAAUUACGCUUAUCUCCCCUAACAUAGUAAAGUACCUAAAAUACCUUUCACUUGGUAGACAAUUCUCAAUUUAAAACAAUAGAUUUACAAAACCCAAAAAAAAAAGUUUUUCUAUUUCUUGUCUAUUUUUGCUCAUUUCUUUUCUAGUUAAUAUACUACUAUACCCUUUUUUGUUAUCUUCAAUUUUAUGGAUAUUAGCAAAUUGAAAUUGCAAAAUUAACAGAGGGAGCAGAUUAUGUGUCAAACUAGUGAGAAAUGAAAAGUCUCGCAGAAAUAGAGAAAUAAAUAAUGAAAUUGAUUAUUGAAAUAGGAAGAAAAACCAAAGAUGUGAAAUUUGUCAUAUUUUGCUUGUUGGCAAGAAAAUUUUUUGUAAAAUGUCAAUAAUUGCAUAAGGAUUUCUUCAAUUGAAUUAGAAUUUUUUAUUAUGAUUUUAUUGUGAAGGUAGAAUUUAUUUUCUGCUUUUGAGAUAUUAAUAUUUUUCAGGUCAUAAGACAUUUGAAAUGGUGGUUUUAGGCUAGAUUAGCUUGUAUUAAAAAGAUAUUUGAGUAUUGAGAUUUAAUAUUGGAGUAUAAAAUUGGUUGUCAAUGGUAUGCGUCUGUAUUUGUGCAUUUUUUGUAUUUGUAUUUUUAUUUUUUUGCAUAGCAAGCAUUGAUGUUGUAUAUGCAAUUUGAAAUCUUUUAGAUAUCUAUUUAGAUUUAGAACUUAUGGUUGAAUGGUUGUUAGGGAUUAAGUUUGUCGAUUUGUGUAAAACAUGGAAGAAAACGAUUGAAUAUACUAUGUUUUUCUUUCUUAGUUUUGUGGAAAAGGAUAAUUUAGGAUUUUUGAGAGAAGAUCUAGCUUGUUGGACCUACAUUGGUAUAUAAAUAGUAAAAGUAAGUGAAGUAUAUAUAAUUUUUAUAAAACUUCAGGGGAGCUCUCUGCAAUUAUUAAAAAUCUUAGAGGAGGUUUGUGAAAUUAUCCCGAAAAGAAGUACAUAGUUUCAGAAAGUAGGUAAAGGGAGGUUGGAAGAAACACAAGUUUCCACCACAAAAAGAAAGGAUAGGAUUUUCCUCCACUAAUUCUAAUGGACUAGGUUCUGGCAGUUUCUUUCUCGGUUGCCUAAAAUUAUGACAGAUUCAAGGAAUUCCGGAAAUUUUGAACGUUGCAAUUGCAAGUCUGGCCUCUAGAGCAGCUAAAUAUGUAAAUUUGCCUCCCAAGUCUUUCCAAUUUAGGUGGUGAAAAUUUUGCAGCAGAAUUGCGUUUGUACCAUAAGGGGUUGCAUUAAUUGAGUGAGUGUACAAUCACCUGGCAGUAAUGUUUUUUUUUUUUGUCCCAUUAGUUUAGGAGCUCAGAUAAAUGUUCUGUUGCUAACGCAGCCUAUGAUUUUGACCCAUAAUCAUUUUGUUAUGUAAAUAUUAAUUCACCAUGAGUUGACCCCUAUAUAAAAAAUUUCCAGGUCCUCCUAAUCUGCUCUGUAUUUAUUUCCCAAUACAAGGAGGUGGAGGCCACUUUCAUACUUUGGAUUCUGCUGCUGUUUGUGUCUCGUUGCUUCAGGAUUAUUCUUCUAUAAAUAGUAUUUCUUUCUUUAUGGUAAGUAUAUGGUGAAAACUGAACCUUUAACCAACAAGAUGCAGAGAGAAUUCUGAAGAUACCUAUAAGCCUAACAGGGAAAGAAGAUAGCCAUUACUGGAUGCACUCUCAGAAUGGACAUUAUACAGUUCAAUCUGGGUAUAAGGCAUGGAUGAAGGCAAAGAAACUGGAGAGUGCAAGAAGGAGGGAAGGUGUUGGACCAAGCUAUGAAGGAACUAUCAGAAAAGUCUGGAAAACUCUGUGGCAGCAGAAGGUGAGCCAGAAAAUGAAAGUGUUUAUAUGGAAGUGUUUGCAUGGGGGGCUUCCCGUGAGAGGUGAAAUAUACAGAAGGACAAGACAAGGAGGCCCUAUGUGCAUGGGGUGUGGUGAGAAGGAAGAAACAAUAGAACACCUCCUGUUCCAAUGCAGCAGAGCAAAGGAAAUAUGGAAGUUAUCACCUGUACAAUGGGAUGGAGUACAACAUACAUCAGACUGUUUCAUUAAAUGGUGGUCUGCAAUCAUAGAAGCCCAACAAGAAAGAGGAGAGGUAGAUCAAGUGAAUCUAACUAUAAACAUUCUCUGGCAGAUCUGGAAAUCCAGGAACGAGAGAGAGUUUAAUCAAAAGGAAAGGGAACCCCACAAGAUAAUACAGAAAGCCAUGAAGGAAUGGAUGGAGUUUGAGGAGGCGAACAAAGGAAAACUGACAAGAGGAAACAUUCAGGGAACAGAAGCACAACAAUGUACUGAGCAACUGCAAAGUCAGAGAGAGAGCCAAACCAGCCUGAUGAUCAAAGUCCACUCUCACCAAGACGUUAGACAAAAAAUGGUUGGGAUUGGAAUCACAGCUUCUGACUUGUCAGGACGUCUUCAAGCAUGUUGGGCAAUGAGGGAAAGAAUGUCUGCAGAACCAAUGCAAGAUCAAGCUGGUGCGGUGAGACUUGCUUUACUAAAUGCGAUCAGCCAAGGUUGGAGGAACAUUAAAGUGGAGCUGGAAAGCAGAGAGUUAGUAGAGUGUAUAAAAAACACAAGGACCAGCAAUUAUUUGAUGGCUACUCUGAUAGAAGAUAUCCAGUACAUAUGUAAAAGUUUUCAAACAUGCUCUUUCUCUAAUGUUAAUUCUGGAUUUGUGGAAAGUAUCAAGUUGAGCAUGCAUGCUCUAAACAUCUUCAUAGAUGAAGCAUGGGUUAAUCCCAAUGCUAGGUGUUAGGCACCAAUGUUUUGUAGGAUUGUUGUCCUUUUAUUUGGACCUUUGUCCAAUUACUGUAAAUAUUGGUUAGAUCUAUAAAGCUAACGUUUCGACAAAAAAAAAUAUGGUGAAAACUGAACAUGCAUUUGCAAACCUUGAAUCAUUGUACUAUAUGAUUUGUAUAAGAUCAAAUUUUGCAAGUAAACGCUGUUGGUAUUUCUUGAUAAAGUCGAUGUUCAAUUUGCCAUUAAAGCGGUUCGUAUCACUUCCAUUCCAUUGGCAGUAUGGUUCAAAGUCUCGGCCGAGUCGUAACCGUCUCGGACCCUUCUAAUACGAUGCCAUGACGAUACGAUUCCGAGAUACUUGACUCGCUGAAACGUCAACGUUAAGGGUUAAAGCGACUGAGUCACACCGAAUCAUUGCGAGUCAUCCCGAAUCAAUUCGAAUUUUUAUUAUUUUUACUAAUUUUUAAAUUAUUUUUUAUCAUAUUUUUUUUACAAUUUUUAGAAUAUUAAAUAUUUCAAAAAUUCACGUUUCGCCGAUACCAUGACUGAUAUACAUAGAUCGAUGUGAAACGGUCCAGACCGAACCCGCAACCGCGACCGCGACUUUGAACCAUGUUGGCAGGUGCGUGCACUCAUAUACCUCAAUAGCCAAAAGGUGUGUGCAUGUGCUCGAAUCACAAAGGAAACAAUUUAUCCCAUAUCAAAUUGGGGAUUGGUUUCCUUAACUUCUCAUGCUGCAACAAAUCUGAUCUAAUGCGUGUAUCCUUGGUUUCCUUAACUUACCAUAAAUCAUCCAACACACAGAUUGAGUGACCUUACAUCGACUUCCCCGGGGGACAAAAAUAUGCACUUGUACACUUGCUAAUCCAUCCUGAAUGCGAGUAUAAAUCUCACACUUUCAUUUUCAGUCUGCAACAAUUAGCCAGUACCAGUAGCCUGUAUUAUCAACAGAAAUUAUUACCUAGCUGUACCGGUUUUCUCGUAGUGGUUUUUAACAGCUCCUGCAGCCACAAUCAUCAGAUGGCAUCAUUUUCAGCAACUUAUUUAGCAACGCAGAUGUUCUUGAUCGUGGGUAUUUUAGCCACGUACUUUCAAAUGGGACUAGCCCAAGACCAAGAGCAACAACUAGUAAUUCAGGGUGUGAAGCCAACUGACUUUAACAGGAUACUGGAAUGUUUGGCAGCCCUGCCGGCCAUUGCAGAAUGCGGUGCUGAUAUUUUGAACAUUCUUGAGGGACGCCAGAACGCCAACCAAUAUGCACUGAGCAAGAAUUGUUGCGGAGCUAUCUUUAACAUCGCAGCUAAAUGCGAUCUGGCCAGGCUCCGUAUUGACCCCGAGGUCACAAGAUCGAUCUUGGAAGCAUGUGCCAGAGGUGCAGCUUCCCCACCCACUGGAGCAGUUGACGACAAAAGCACUGGGGAUAAGGAUUUUUCUUGGCCUAAUCUAUAUUAGUUUGAAGCCUUGGAUGUUCAAUUUCAUCCCUAUGUCUUUCAGUUAUUUGUUUCAUUGAGUUGGAAUGCUUCUUCAUAAACCACAGAAAUGGAAAUUUCACUAGUUUUCCUAAGUUUGCAUCUCUGUGUGCUAAUGCGUUGUCCUAAAUGGAGGAUAUGUUAGGACUAGUUAAACGAUGAGUCCUCGUUGUACCUCUUUCUCAAGAGUUUCUGACAAACAAAAUUGAUAACAAGACAAAGUACACCUUGAGAUGCCCACUAUAAGUUUUUCUAGUUUCUGUCCAUUGUACUUUACAAGAAAUUUUUAAGGAAGUAGGAAUUUCGGCAAAAGCAAAAAUGAAUUAAAACUAAUUCAAAACAAGGCCUAAAUUUCAUGGUCAUUUUUUUUAAUAGACCCUCUUUCUACUAUUGCAAUUAUGCAUCAAUGAGUUGCUACUAGAAGGAGAAGGUGUUUGGCAUUAGGCAAGCACUCAAUUAUUUCAGAAUGUAUACUUUUCUUAUCCUUCAUUGAAUGUUUUCCUUUAUUACAGCUAGUAUAAAAUUUGAUAACAAACAAUGAAACUCAAGCUUUGUGAUCAACCCUAGAUGAUUUAUCACAUUAAAAGUCGACUUUAUUGAUCUCCACAAAAUCUUGUUCAAGUCGAAUGAAUUUUACAUUCUAGGAGAUAUAGAAAAAAAAACCAAUAAAGCCAAAAAUUUGGCCCAUAAUUGAGUUUAGAGCAUAGUUAUUAAUUUUGGUCUGGCCCAGUGACCCGGGCAUUAGACCGGGCUGGGUUUCUAGUUUAACUGGAUAAGCAAUUGGCCUGGUCAAACUCGGACAAACCCGUUUGAUCUAGUGAUUCAACUGAGAACCGGUUCAAUUUUUCAAUUGAUCUGGUUUACCUUUAUUUGUUUUUAAUAAUUGUGGCCUUUUUUUUUUAAACAAAAUGUAUAUAUGCUUUUAAUAAAAUUUGUGCAUUGGAUUUUCAUUUAAAUAUGUAUAGGACUUUACCACUUGUUUAGUUUUUAUUUGAUAGCUAAUUUUUUUUUAAUAAACUUGUUUAUUUUUUAUUAUAUAAUCAGUACUUUUAACUUUUAAACUGAUAAUAUUUGAUUAGUUAGAAAAUUACUUUUUUAAACAAAAAAUAAAAUAAUGAAAAAAUAAUGCUGAUAUAAUUUUUUUUAAUACUUGCACUAUAUUAUUUAUUUAUUUAAAAGUACGAUAAAAUGAAGUUAAAUCUUCUAAAAGCACUUUAUUAAAAGCACUUUAUAAUAAUUAGUAUCUAAAAGCACUUUAUUAUAUAUUUUAUGUAUAUUAAAAUUACUAUUUUAUAUUUAUAAAUAUUAAAUUAAUACUCACCGGUUCAACCAAUGACCUAUUGGUUGAACCAGUGAUCCAUUGAUCUAGUCCCACUGUGAGUUCUUUAUCGGGUCGAGUUUAAUAACUAUGGUUUAGAAUUGAUGGAAAUGGCAUUGCUAUUGCUGAAUAGGCACUUUGAGCUUAAAUAGAUAGGGUUAAAUGCAUUAAGCCACCAUGAACUUUGACUCUAGUUGCACUUUUAUCUCCUAAACUUGUUUAAUAGACACUUUAACCCUACUUCGUUUUUGAUUUUUCAGACAAUAGGCACUUUAACAAACGCACUCCUUCAUGAUUUUUUGGACAAAAAUGCCCUACUAGUACUUUUAUUUAUGUCAAUUAUUUACUAUGUGUGUAGUUACAAACUGAUAAUGGAACUCUCUUAUUGUUAAGAAAAAUUCACAUAGAACUUUUAAUUUUGCUAACUACACAAAAAUACCCCUGUCCUUCGUUGAAUUUUGAAUCAAUCAUUUAUAUGAAAUAGUAAUUAAAAGCACAGACAAAUAGAAAAAUACAAAUGUCAAAUAAAAAAAUAACAGUAGUUAUAACGAUAGUUAUAAUAAUUACAAAAUUAGCUAUAAUAACAUCAAAUGUAAAAAAAUUGCAAAUGAUAAUAAUAUAAAAAAUAAACAAAUGCAAUGGGUUGAGGCAUGGAUAUUUGGUUCUCUUUAAGGUGAUUCAAGUUUCUGUGAAAGAAUCAACUUCGAUGCAGUAGGAUCUCUAGUUUGUCACUCCUAAAAUACAAUAGUCCAGCCACACUUGAUAUCAUUUUCAUUAGUCUGUACAACUAAGAGAGUAUAACUCUACAAACACCUCUUUUUCUUACCUAGUAAUGAAAUAGAAAAGAGUAAAAGACCCGGGGAGCCCUUAAACUAUUACCGUUGUCAAGUUUUGGCCCCCGAUCUAAUUUUUGUCUCCGAUGAGCCCCUAAACAAUUAAAAAUGCAUAGUUUAAGUGCUUCCGGUCAUUUUAUACUGAAGUCAAGCCGGAAUUAAAGGGCAAUUUCGUCCAACUAUAAUUGAAGCAUCAGGACCAACUGCUGAGUUUGCCCAGCCAAGUUACGGGUCGGAUCGUCUCCAAUGUCCGAUUUGAUUUGCUUAGAAAUAAUGCCCAACAAAUAUCAUCACCGCCUCUUUUCCAUAAACGCCGAAUCCCUCCACCACCACCACCUUCAUCUCAUAUUACACCGUCGCCAAAAAGAAAGAAAAGAAGAAAAAGAAAACUCGCAACGAGGGCUUCUUCCCUGUUAUUGUUAAACACACACACACACACAUGUUGAUAUGCAUAUGUGUGUUUGUGUAUAUAUAUAUAUAUAUAUAUAUAUACAUAUAUUUCCCUGGCUCUGUUCGAAGGGCUCUUGGUUUUUUAGUAACCAAUGGCGAAAUCAUAGGCAAAGCAGAGAUGGGCAACCACCCUUGAAGAAAUCCCGUACUCCUCUGCUGCUGCCUCAUUUGUUCUUCUUUCUGAGCUGUAUAAUCAUCAGAGAAAAGGCUAAGCCCGCCGUGGCUGCAAAAACCGCCAUUGGGAGAUUUUGCCGAGCCAAGAUACGAGCUAGCUCAGAAUCUGACUUAAUUUGGAAGAGGCGGAUAUCAUCGAAGCUUCUAAUUACAAGGAUUUAGGAUUUAGGGUUUUUGUGGAAUCACUAGAGAGGUUUGUACUACAUCUGGCAAGCAUCAACAGGGGCUGUUUGCUUGUAUUGAAAUCAUCGGCAGCGUAGUUGCAGAGAGGGGCAACAACCCACAAUAAUGCCAUUUGCUUCCGGCUUGACUCACACAUAAAAUGAACGGAAGCACUUAAACUAUGCAUUUUUUAUUAUUUAGGGGCUUAUCGAAAACAAAAAUUAGAUCGGGGGUCAAAACUUGACAACGGUGAUAGUUUAAGGGCUCCCUAGAUUUUUUACUCAAUAGAAAAUAAUAGUAAUUAUAUAAAUUUAAGCUCACAAGUCAUAAGUCCUUGUAGUAGUAUUUUUUUCUAUCUCAACUACACAUAUCUAUAGGUAAUGAAAAGUUAAUCAAAAGCCAUAAGUUACAAAAUAUGCAAGAUAAAUGUAGGAGUUAUUGACUAUUCAAAUUAUAUUUAAAUUAGAAUUGUAGGUUACAAGACUUAUUGCAAUUGAAAACCUUUAAUUUCUACCAACAAAGGUGAAUUCAUGAGCAUUAGUCAAAUACUAAUAAUUCUUAAAAAACUGUUACCAUAUUCUCUCCUUCUAUUUUAUGCUUUUAACAUAAAAAUUUAAUAUUUUAUUAAAAUGCUACAACAGUGACAAUUCAACAUUACCUACCACGCAAAUGUCAGCGAACAUCGAUACCUUGGUGGCGGCUGAACUAGCAUCAAGCAAUUCUCAGAAUCGUUUCAGUCUUGCCACUUAUAGUAAAGGUACAGACGGAGUCUACGGCUUGGGACAAUGCAGAGGAGAUUGUGAAUGGUAAAGAUUGCACGACCUGCAUGCAAGAUGCAGCACAAAUCAUUUACACACUCUGCCGAAACCAGACUGGUUCCUAGAUUUGGUAUAAUGAUGCCUGCAUUCUAAGGUUUGCAGACCAAAAAAUUCCUCGGAACAGUUGAUCGAUCUAGCUUUGCCGUGAUCAUCAACAACAUCCCUCUGCUUUCAAGAAGCAACUAUAUGCUCUUAUAAGUAAGGUCAGCUAGGAGACUACUGUGCCUGCAAAUGAAGGGCUUGGCGGGGGAAGGAGUUUUAGUGCACCAGGGAUUUAUCCCAACAUUCUUGCACCGAGUGUCUGAAAAUACCCAUUGGCAACUUCCCCAAAUUAUGCAACAAUGAGAAAACUGUAGGAUGUCAUGUUUUCUAUAGCAGCUGCUAUGUUCGUUAUGAAAUAUAUCUGUUUUACUAUCCUCUUGAUUCUCGAGAGCCCUUGUCAGUGUAACAAGAAAUAAAAUCCCUUCAGAGUUCACUAAACCUUGAACUAAAAGGUCAUGCCAAAGAGGAGUCAAAUCAAGGAAUUGUGUUAUGUACUGUAUCAAUCAUUUCUCUCUGUAUCUCUUACAUUUGAUUAACUAAGUGUGAUUUACAUGUCUGCAAAUAAAUGGAGAGUUUACACUUAAGGUAGACAAUAAUUAAAGUACCUAAGAACUUACAUUCAAAGGCGAAAUUUUUUGUUCUUUUGGGAGAAUCUGAAAGUUACAAAUUUCAUGAAUUCUCGUUUGCCAUGUAUAAAGACUCUCGUUUGUGCGGUCAUUCUGUUUCUCAAGAUUUUCUUUCUCCUCCUCUCUGACCAAAAUUUAAGGCUUGCUUUGCACCUGUUGCUUGCCAUCCUUUCAUGGUUAGUUUCUUGGCAUAUUAUUCUGUUCUCUACUAGGCCUACUUCUGGAUUGUCCAGGAUUUGGAUCAGUAUUAUCAGAUUUUUUUUUUUUUGAAGAUCGAUCUCUUUGUGUUGCAUUGAUCCUGGUUCUUGAAUUCAACUGUGUGGCCUUUCCCUGUAAUCAACUAUUUGUAUUCUUGUUAACUAAAUUCUUGAUUUUGGUGAAUGUAGGUUGGUGGGAUGUACAAAGAAAAAAAUAAAUGGCUUACAGGGUGGAUCAUGAGUAUGAUUACUUAUUUAAAAUUGUGCUGAUCGGAAAGUCUGGUGUUGGAAAAUCAAACUUACUUUCUAGGUUUACGUGAAAUGAGUUCUGUUUGGAAUCUAAACCCACGAUUGGUGUUGAAUUUGCCACGAGAACUCUUCAGGUUAGCUUUGAUCAUCAAUCAGUGCGUUACAAUUUGCCCAUCUAUGUCCCUUAAUGCCUUGUUGCUGUUGUUUUCUGAUGUGCUCCUUUUUUGUCGUACCUAGUUUGAAUUUGUUCAUAAUUGCACUCGUAUUGUGCUACUUCAUAUCUUCACCAUGCCAUGGACCUUUGUGAUAAGCAGAUAUAUUGAUCCUAAUGUAUUAUAGUUUAAAUCUUUAUAAGUAUAUAUACAUUCUCUUUGCUAUUCCCAAAAUAAGACACUCCAAUUUAAUCUGUCUUUUUGCAUUCCAUCUUUAGUUUUUGUUUCAAUUUAACAUUCUUGAUUAGUCAUAAUCUAAUCCAAUUUCUAAAUCAUCCAAGAUUUUGCUAGUGAUACUAAAACAAGGUGUUCUUGAAAUAACAUAGUACUUGUUGUUUGUGCUUUGUGUUAUAUUCUGUCCAAAAAAAAAAAAGAAUAAAAGAAAACAAAAGAGAAAUGACAAAAAUCAAUUAUCUCUACCAAUGAAUUUUCAAAUAAAAAAAUUGAAUAGUUAGGUAAAAAAAAUUCAUAUGUGGUGAAUCAUUUACACUCCAUGAUUAAUAAAAACAACACACAAAAGAAUAUAAACAUUUGAACUUGAAAGUUUAUACAUCUUUUUUUUAUUAUUUUUGAAAAAACUAUGCACAUAACUUCAUAUUAAGGAAUGCCAUUAAGACACUAACAAAUUCAACUCACUUAACAUGAAAAAUAAUAAUGGUAGAACAUGAAAACAAUUAAAUUUUGUUUAUCAUGAGUUUGGCUUUCCAACUCCGAAGAAAAAACAAAAAUUUUUCAUAUAUUUAUUUUAAAAUGAAACUAUUUUAAUUGUAUUAUCACAAUUUGCUUGUUAUGGCACAAAAAGAAAAAGGAAAAAACUAGAAGAAGUAAUAAGGAGUAUGCACAUUGUAUACACCAUUCAAAAUAUUGAUACUUUUGUCAAAUCCUUUAAUAUUUGGUCAAAUUUUUUUUUAAUUGUUGAAAUUUUUUUAUUUCACUUGAAAGUUCAUUAUGGACUUUACUUUUUUUUUUUUUUUCCAAAAAGACAUAUUUGUACUCUAGCUGGUUAAUGAUUUUAGGGGUGAAAAAAUAACAUAACAAGUGUCCUAGCAUAAUAAAAAUAAAAUAAGCAAACACAUUGACCCUACUUCCCCCUCUAGGUUUUAAUAUUAUAGUUUAAACCUUUGUUAAUAUUUAUAAAUUCUCUUUGCUACUUCUAAAGCUUAAGAAAAGGUUUGAAGCCGCAAAUUUAUAAAUUCUUGUCUAGAAUGGGUUUGUAAAUAACCAUGUUUACAUAUGAAGACAAAUCGAGUUCUAUCUUUUUGAGCUUUCAUUUGUUUAUUAAUGUCUGUUGGCAAAUGUAGUCAGACAUAUUAGGAUAGGACUUGGAGAUUGAAGUCUUUAAUUAGAAAGCGCAAUGGUAAGUGAGGGGUAUAUUGAAAUUACACAGCCCUUCUCUUUGGAUUUGCUAGAGCAUGAUACCGGUUGCAGAUUUUCUUGACUUGCUAGUUGAUUUUUUGUUGGAUAUAAUGCUAGUUUUUUUUUUUUUUUUUGAUAGGAUUUCCAGAAGAUUGAAUAAUUUACUUUGACUAGCAAGUCAAGAAAAUUUGCUGUCUGUACCAUGCCACUUGAACGAAAACAAUGCUUGUGUCAGAUUUGGCUGUGGGGGGCAUUGCUCGUCCUGUCUAAUUCUUCUAAUUGGUCUGCUAUCAUCCCUAGAAGCGUGUGGACUUUGCAGGAGCGUGCCAACCCUCUCUUUUGUAUUAAGAUUCGAUUCGAUUAGAUCAAAAUUCGAUUUGGCUCAAUUUAUUUGGAUCCAUAGUCUCCAGUAUUUUAACUGUAUAAUUAUUAUUUUUUUCAUAGACAGAAGAAACACACGCAUGCUUAAUUUAACACAAACGCAAAGGUAACACUGAACACACCGGUCCAAAUGAGCAAUCUAAGGUGGAAUCCAUGAGAAACAUCCAUCUAGAUAAUUGGUGACAGAAGGAUGCUCCCAUGGACCUUAAACCCAGGAUAAAGACCCCGCGAUCUUUCGAUGUUAAACGGUAUAAUUAUUAUGCUGGAUUUAUUUUUUGCCAGGCAAGAACCCCAUAUGUUCUGUGGACCAAGCAGAAGCGUGUGGACCAAGCAGAAUGUGCCAGCCCCUAUCUUUUGUUGGAUGUAAUAAAUAUUACUCCAAUUGCUUCUUUUAGAUAGGAAGGAUAUUUACUCCAAUUGCUUCUUUUAGAUAGGAAGGAUAGGAAGGAUUUCCAAAAGAUUGAAUAGUUUACUUUGACCUCAAGAAAAAUCUGCAACUAGUGUCAUGUUCCAGCUAAUCUAGCAAUAGGGACGCGCGCGCACAUUAUUAUUUUCUCCUAUAAAUUGGAUAGCAUUUAGAAAGCAAGUACAACUGCAAAUCGCUGAUAACUAAGAUCAGUACAUGAUGGCUUUGUUUCGCCUUGUUCUCUUGCUGUUCCUCAGCAGCUGCACUGCAGUACUUGCAGAUUUUCUCUUUGAUAUUAAUGCUGUUAGCGUUUAUAGCUGCAGUGAAAAUUCAACAAUAUCAACCCCUCAAAUGUCAGCAAACAUUGAUAGCUUGGUGGCUGAUCUAGCAUCAAGCGCUUCUCAGAAUCGUUUCA